AUCGUGCAACCAAGUUGCAUGAUUCCAAGUUUCUGUCCAAUUGAAACUUGGGCGAUGAGAAACUCUCCCUAUUUGGUAAAUUCUCGACUUUCCAUAAAUAACAUAAUAAGAACCAAAUCCAUUAUUGCUAAUAAUAGAAACAUUUUAACAUCAAUUUUUCAUACACGCCAUUGUAAGGAUAAAUAAAUAAAAUUUAAAAUCAAAAUUUAUUUUAUUGCGGAAAAAUUUGUCCUUACAAUGCAACUCAUUGAAAAACUUAUGCUAAUACAUCUUUCUUAGCAAUCUAAUUCUAACUCUAAGUAGUAGCUCAAGAAUCUAAUCUUCGAGAAAUGCGAUCGAAAUCCAUUCCUUCACGGUUAGAUUCUGCUCACUUCUUCCCUUAAGCUUCCUUUCUUUUCUUCGAUCCUACAAAACAUGAAUUGUAAUCUUAUCACAUUAUGUAUUAAGAAUCUAGAAUAGAAGCUUAAAAGAGUUAGUUAAUGGAUUUUACCUAUCUUAGAGCCAUACGUUUUGACUCUCCCAUCUCUUAGAUCUCUUAGGUAAAUGGGGCAACUUCGUCUCCAAUGCCCCUUCUCUUGGCAAUAAAAGCAAAUCGACUAUUUUGGAACAGGACAUGGAAUUAUUUCAGACAUCGUCUUUCUCUUAUGAUCAAACUUUUCGAUCAUAGCAUGUCUUUCAUUGCCAUUGUCUAUAUCCAUAGAGGUCUCGAAGGCAGAUUCACCAAUCAACUUUGCUUUUCUAUUGUGCCAAAUCAUUGCAGAUUCAGUAGCAAUAAGCAUAUAGGUGAGAUCUAUAAGGGUCAUGUCGUAUUUCAUCAUAUAGUACUCUCUUACGAACUCACUCAAUCAACAGGCAUUUCCUCACAGACAACGGAUCUCGACAUUCUUAACCUAUCAAUGUGUGACUUCAUCCCUAGGACGUGUGCACACACAGACUUUCCUUCUUUAUGUUUACUUGCCAAAAGGGCUUGAGUGAUCUUGAACUUUUCAAGCCUUUGAACUUGUGGGUUAGGGAGAAUAAUUGGAGGAGGUAGAGGAAGUGAAGCAUGAUUUUUGUUCCUUGAUCGAAUUGUGGAAUAUCAUUUUCAUGUGGAAUGCUUGUUCCACGGGAUUUGGGAAGACCAUAGUUGUCAAACUUUGACAUCUACAAUACGGGAGAAAACGAAUUCAAGUUAGUUGAUUGAUUGAGUCCUUAGCAAAUCACCCAAAUGAGAUACUAAGGCUAGGACCCAACACAAUAUUCUACAACUCGGGAGAGGGAUGCCGUAACCCUAAUUGCAGAAUAUUUGAAGGUAAGUGAAUGACGAUUCACUAAUUUCCACCAUGAAAAACGAAAAAGAAAUUUAAGUUUUAAAUCUAUGAAAACUCCUAGAUCCUUUGAGAUUCAUUGAACUUUCAAUGGCAUGUUUAAAUCUCGAUAUGCCCCUCUUGUUUGUGACUGGGAUGCCGAGGAUCACAAAGCGGGUGUGAAUAACCAUGCAAACUUACAUGGUGCCCUCACAUGUUACAGUCACCUAUUCGAUGUGCCGGUAAACCACACACGCUCCACCGAACUAUGACAAACAUUGAGUCACCCUUUGCUACCUUUGCUUAGAACCAUUUAGUGUGCCGGUUAACCACACACGCUCCACUAACGUCUUCGCAAGGGCACAAAGUGUAAUUUCAUGGAAUUGCAUCAAUUCACUUUUGCCUAAGUAACUAAGAUUGGGAAUUUUAUGAAAACAUUUAGUUACUUUAAUAAUUCAUUAUACUUAUAAUGGAAGGUUUCGUCCUAUCCUACCCGUUCGGCUAACGACCCUCCACUAGUCAAGAGUGCGGUGGGUAAGAGUGGAUACCCAUUCAAUCGCCAUUUUAUAGGCAAUUUCCUUAAACACCCCUUAUAGACCAGCUUCGUGAAUGAGGCCUACUAACGGUAAGACUGACUUUUACUCAUACAUAUAUAUAAUGUUAGACUUUUAAUGUUAUAUAUAGUAUAGGGUGUAUUUUAUACUUUUAAAAUACUAGGUGGUCUAAUUUAACAAUUAUACUUUUAAUUCAAUUAAAUUGUAAACCUAAACUUUUAUGGAUUUAUUAAACCUCUUUUAAUUAUACACCUUAAUUAAUUAAUAAAACCAUAAGGGUGUGAUUUGAACUUUUUCAAAACUAUACUAGAGUUUUAGAAUUUAACAUUCCUAAUUAAACUUUUAAUCAACUUUUAAAUUCCAAAACUUGAGGGCAAGUUUUGAAACAUUUCAACACAUUAGGGUUUAGAAUUUAAAUAUGCAUCAAAAUUAAACUAUUUAAUCAAAAUUUAAAUUCCAAAACUUGAGGGCAAGUUUUGAAACCUUUUUCAAAACAUUAGGGUUUCAACUAUUUAAAUUUCAAAACAACAAAACUUUUGGGGUUCAAAUUUAAACUAUAAAACCUAAAGGGCCAAAUAUGAAACUUUUCACAACAACAAGGAUCAAAUAACAAAUAAUUCAAAUUAACAUUUAAUCACAUAAUUAUCCAUAUUUGAUGAUUUCUUGCAAAAUAAUUUAUCAAUUUACUUAAAAUAAUUAAUCAAUUAUCUUAUAAGGAAACAAUUAUCUUAUUAAUUGAUAAAUAUCUUCAAUUAGAUUAAAAAUAUAGUCAAAUAUAUCAUAUAAUCGGAUUAAUAUUAAUCUAACAUGAUAAGGUAAUUAUCCCAAUGCAAAAACAGCAAGAAAUCCCGAGAUAAGCACUGUCUGACGCACCGACUCGCCGAGUCACCCUCUGGAACUCGCCGAGUAGGGCUGACUCGCCGAGUCCAAGAGUGACUCGCCGAGUCAGGUCGAACAGUGAGGCCAAAACACGAUUUUCAGUUACAUCAAGCAUCAAUACAAUAGAAACCAAUCAUGGCUCUGAUACCACUGAUGGGUUUUGGUCAUAAGACAUCCUAUGUGCUCAUACAAACCCUAAAGCUUGGAUCUAGGUUUCUCUAUUGUACAUACUUUGAAUCCAAGACUAUGAACCCUAAUUCUAGCAUAUGGAAAUCAGAAUUCACAUGUAAAUAGGUUUAAGAACAUACCUUGAUUGUUAUAUAGCAAUAACAAUCCAAUUCCUCCUUGAAUUGACCUUGGAAAGCUGAGAGUCACAAGUGUCACUCCUCUAAUGGCUUACAAACACCAUAAGCAAGUGGAGAAGGUAUAAAGAGAGAGGAGGGAGGUUAGAAUUCGUCCUUAGGACCUCUUGGGAAGGGUUAGACGAAUUCCUAAGCCCUAGGGGGUUUAUAUAGGUGUAAAGAUUAAGGUUUUAGUCCUUAUCCUUAUCUACUUGCUUGUCCACCAAGCAACCAUAAGAUAAGUCCUAGAAACCCUUAUCCUAGUCGAAUUCUAAGGGAUUUACACCUCAAAUUCGUUCACCAUAUAUAUAAGAUAAUCCUUACCUUAUUUUGUAACUAUCACAUAAUUACAAUUCAGCCCCUCUAGUUUAAUUAAUUACACUUGAUCACAAAAUUAAUUCUUAAUUAAUUAUUGACCAAUAUUAAUUAAAAAAAUAUGAUUUCUCCUUUAAUAUAUUAUUCUUAUAACAUAUUAAUAAAUCAUAAUAACCUCUCUCUCUUUAUUUAUUUCUCCAAUCAAGUUGCUUUGGUGAAGGCAACCCAAAAGGACCAUGCACCAUCGGGUCAAGUACAUACCAAAAUAGUUAUGGACUUAGACACUAAUCCAACAGUAAACACUUAGAUCUGUUCUUAUAAUGUUAAUUUUGAAUUAUACAUGUUAGAUCUAGGGUUGCAAGUCUUCGAUUCAUUGCAUGUACAAUAGAGAAACCUAGAUCCAAGCAUUAGGGUUUGUAUGAGCACAUAUGAUUGUUCUUAUGCAUAAAACCCAUCAAUGGUAUCAAAGCCUUGAUUGGUUUCUAUUGUAUGUGAUGUUGUGACUGUUUAUUUGCUGAAAAACGUUUUCUGGCCCUCUGUUCGAACUGACUCGGUGAGUCACUUCAUGGACCCGGCGAGUCAACGCAACUCGAAGAGUCCAGUGAGUGACUCGGCGAGUCGGAGCGUCAGACAGUGGGAUUUUCGGAUUUUCUUGCUGUUUUGCUAAAGGAUAAUUGCCAUAUAUGUUUUGAACUGAUAAAAUAUGAAUUUUAUUAUUAUUGAAAGAUUAUCCUUGCCAAAACACAAGAUAAUUACCAAUUGAUUAGAUAAUAAAUUUCUUAUAUGAUUAAAAUUGAUUAUUUGAAAUUAAUUGGGUAACUUAUCUUGCAAUAAAUUGAAUUAGGUCAAAUAUAGAUAAUCACUAAAUUAAUUGUUUGAUUUAUAUUAUUUGUUGUUUGAUUCCUUGUGUUUUGAAAAGUUCAAAACUUGCCCUCAAGCUUUGAAAUUUAAACUCUUUGAUUAAAAGUUUAAUUAUUGAAAGUUUUAAAUUUCAACCCUUAGAUUUUUACAAGUUUAAAAAUCAACCUUAUACUUUAUAUAUUAUAAGAUUAAUAUAUAUAUAUAUAUAUAUAUACACACACACACACACACACACACACUAGUCGUUUACCCGCGCAAAGCGGCGNNNNNNNNNNNNNNNNNNNNNNNNNNNNNNNNNNNNNNUGUAUAAGAAUAAAGCUAGUCUUAUCGCUAGUAGGCCUUAUUCACGAAGUCGGUCUAUAAGGUGGGUAUAAGGUUGUUGCCUAUAAAAUGGCGCUUAAUGGGUGUACACUCACACCCACCGCUUGCUUGACUGGUGAAGGGUCGUUAUCUGAACGGAUAGGAUAGGGCACUUAAUACCUCAUUAUAAGUAUAAUGAAUAUUACAAAGUAACUAACAUGUUUUUUUUUUCAAAUUCCCAAUCUUAGUUACUUUAGGGUAAAAUAUGAAAAUGAUGUUAUUCCAUGGAAUUACACUUUGUACCCUUGUCAAACGUUAGUGGAGCGUGUGUGGUUAACCGGCACACUAAUUUGGGAUUGACAUUGGUGGCAAAGGGUGGCUCGAUGUUUUUCAUAGAUCAAUGGAUUGUGUGUGUCUAACCGGCACAUUGAUUAUGUGAUAGAUACAUUGAGUGCACCAUGUUGAUUCGCAUGGUUAUUCACAACUUGUUUGCGAUCCUCGACAUCCCAGUCGCAAAUUUGAAGUGCAUAUCGAGAUUUAAACAUGUCAUUGAAAAGUUCAAUGAAUCUCAAAGAUCUAGGAGUUUUCAAAUACAUUUAAAACUUAAUCUCCUUUUUGUUUUUCAUGGUGAGAAUUAGUGAAUCGUCAUUCACUUACCUUCAAGUUAUUUACUUUUAGAGUACGACAUCCCUUUCUAAGUUGUAAAUAAUGUUGUUGGAUCCUAUCCCUAAUUUCUCAUUUAGGUGUUUAAUUGGGGAUUCAUUUCUAAUCAAACUUUAUUCCUUUCUUUGUUCAGAUGUCUAACACAAACGCAAACAACAAUGCUCCCGGUUCAUACUCGUUGAUGAGCCUAUGUCAAAAGGUGACGUUUGAUGGAUCGAAUUUCAACGAAUGGAUGAGAUACAUUCGCAUGAUUGCUCGUUACGAGGACAAAGAAUAUGUCCUCGACGAUAAGCUUGAAAAGAUCAAUCCAGAAGUCGCUACUCCUGAAGAAAUGGCCGUCUUUGAGGCCCACGAGCAUGAUGCAACGAAAGUUCAUUGCAUUAUGUUGGCCACCAUGAAUCUUAAAUUCCAAAAGUCCUAUGAGGACAUGUAUCCAUAUGAAAUGCAUCAAGAUUUGCUGGAGAUGUAUCACCAAAGCGCAAGGCAAGAGCGCUAUGAGAUCAUCACCAACAUGAUCACCGCUAAGAUUGGGAGUGGAGAGUCCCUAACCUCGAAUUUACAGAAAAUGCAGAGGUAUGUUGAUCGUCUUCGCAAGUUAAAUGUUAACUUUGGGGAAGAUUUGGUUAUCGACAUCAUUCUUCACUCCUUGCCCUCGUGCUACAACCAAUUUAGGAUGACCUACCAUAUGAACAAAGAAGAGGUCACCUUGAGCAAACUCCAAGGGAUCCUAAGGAUUGCUGAAAUCAAUCAUAAGGACAAAUUUGUUACAUCAUCCUCUAUUGUGGCUGCUCCGAUGUUGGCAAUUGGUCAAGGAAAGGGUAAAAAGAGGAAGGCUCCAAGUAAGAGCCACCACAAGGGUAAGCCCCAUGAUGGUUCCUCCUCUAGUGGAACCAAAGUUGGUUCAGUCAAACCCUCUUCUGAUCCCAAAGAAGCAGAGUGCUACUACUGCCAUGAGAAGGGCCAUUGGAAAAGAAGUUGUGCCAAGUAUCUGCAAGACAUAAAAGAUGGGAAGAUAAAGCCCACCUUUGCAGGUAUGUAUUCUAUUAAAUCUAACAACUCAUCAUUUGCUACUUCAUGGGUUCUUGAUACAGGGUGUGGUUUCCACAUUUGUUCUGAUUUACAGGGCCUAAGAAGAAGUAGGGAAGUGGAACAUGGAAAGAUGAACUUGAUUAUGGGAAACAGAAGAUCAUCGCCUGUGACCAGAGUCGGAGUUUAUUCUUUAGUGUUGAGUAAUGGGUUAGGAUUAGAUUUAAAUAAUUGUUGCUAUUCGCCAGAUAUGGGAAGAAACAUCAUUUGAUUUCAUGGAUUGUUUAGACAAGGUUUCAGAUACUCAUUUGAUAAUAGUAAUGGUUCUAUUAAUGUUUGUUUGAAUGGUGUCUUUUAUUUCAAUGAAUUACCUUGUAAUGGGAUUUAUGAAUACGUGAUGGUUGUUGAAAAUUUAGGAAAUGAUGUGUUGAAUAUUGAUUCAUCUACUAGUCUAGAUAAAGCAUGCUUGUGACAUUAUCGCCUUGGCCAUGUCAACAAGAAAUGCAUAGCCUAACUCCAAAAGGAUGGAGUGUUGGAGUCAUUCGACCUUAGGGACGAUGACGUGUGUGAAUCUUGUUUACUUGGGAAGAUGACCGAGUCACCCUUCACUGGCACUUAUGAUAGGGGUGAGGUCUAUUGGAUCUCAUACACACCGAUAUGUGUGGGCCCUUUAGAUCCACCACAAGGGAUGCUUGCCGCUUCUACGUGACUUUUACGGAUGAUUAUAGCAGAUAUGGAUAUAUCUACUUAAUCAAGCAAAAGUCAGAAACUUUUGAAAAGUUCAAAGAGUUUAAGAAUGAAGUGGAGAAUCAACUGGGCAGGAAAAUCAAGAUGCUUCGGUCAGACCGAGGGGGAGAGUACCUAAGUCUUGAAUUUCACAACUAUCUAAAAGAAUGCGGAAUUGUUUCGGAAUUGACGCCUCCGAGAAUGCCACAAUUGAAUGGUGUGGCUGAGAGACGUAAUCGGACCUUGUUGGACAUGGUUCGUUGUAUGAUGAGUCGGGAUUCGUUACCAAUAGUUUUCUAGGGGUAUGCCUUAGAGACUUCCGCCCAUAUCCUUAACUUAGUUCCCACCAAGAAGGUUGCCAAAACACCUCACGAGAUGUGGACAGGGAAAGCUCCUUCGUUGGCACAUAUCAAGGUUUGGGUUUGCAAGGCUUUCGUAAGACGAGAGACUCACGACAAGCUCGAACCUCGUAGUGAGAAGUGUUUUUUCAUCGGCUAUCCACAGAAGUCUUUUGGCUAUCUUUUCUAUAGACCGAGUGACAAUGUUGUCUUCGUUGCUAGAAGAGGAGUUUUCCGAGAAAGGAAAUUAAUAAGCCAAGAGGACAGUGGGUGGCAAAUUGAUCUUGAAGAGAUUCAAGAGCAAAGCGAUGAAGGAACCUCUAACAGUGACACUCAACCCGAGGAGGAAACUCCUGUUGAGCCCGUUAACGAGUCCUUACCUCUUAGACGUUCCAGUAGGGUUAGUGUUCAACCCCAGUUUUAUGGUUUUCAUAUUACUACUGAAGGGGAUACGUUUAUUAGUGAUGAAACACUGAUAAAUUUGGACGAACCUAGCAGCUACAAGGAAGCCAUGGCAGGCCUGGAGUCUGCUAAAUGGAAAGAGGCGAUGGACAACGAGAUUCAAUCCAUGUACGACAACCAAGUUUGGAAUCUGGUUGAAAAUGUAUCGGGUCGUAAGAUAGUCAGGUGCAAGUGGAUCUUCAAGAAGAAGACGGACAUGGAUGGGAAAGUGCACACUUAUAAAGCACGAUUGGUUGCGAAGGGCUUUACUUAAACUCUUGGAGUUGACUAUGAUGAUACCUUCUCACCAGUUGCUAAAAUAAAGUCUAUUAGGGUUAUGCUUGCAAUAGCUGCGUUUCAUGAUUAUAAAAUCUGGCAGAUGGACGUGAAAACCGCUUUCCUUAAUGGGAAGUUGGCUGAAGAUGUGUACAUGAAUCAUCCAGAGGGUUUUGUCGAUGCGAAGCAUCCAAAUAGAGUGUGCAAGCUUGAGAAAUCCAUUUAUGGAUUGAAACAAGUGUCUCGCAGGUGGAAUCUUUGUUUUGAUGAGAAGGUUAAAGAGGUAGGUGUUCUACGAAGCGAAGAUGAGUCAUGUGUAUAUGUCAAAGCCAGUGGGAGUAUAGUAAGCUUCCGCGUAUUGUAUGUCGAUGACAUACUACUCAUAGGAAACGACAUCCCAACCUUGCAGGAGGUCAAGUCCUGGCUUGGGAAGUGUUUCGCUAUGAAGGUCCUCGGAGAGGCUGCUUAUAUUUUGGGGAUAAGGAUAGUGAGAAACAGAGAAAAGAGACUGAUAGGACUCAAUUAGGAUACAUACUUGGAUAAGGUACUAAAGCAUUUUAGUAUGGAAAAUUCAAAGAAAGGGGAGUUGCCAAUCCAAAGCAAUACCAAGAUGAGUAAGACUCAGAGCCCGAGUACAGAGGUAGAGAUAGCUGAUAUGAGCCGAGUACCUUACGCUUCCGCAGUCGGCUCUAUCAUGUACGCUAUGACUUGUACUCGCCCUGAUGUGGCCUUCGCUUUGAGCAUGGUCAGCAGAUAUCAAGGGAAUCGUGGUAGAGCUCGUUGAAUUGCGGUUAAGAAUAUUCUUAAGUACCUGGGAAGGACCAAGGAAUGGUUUCUAGUCCUCGGUGGGAGUGAUGACUUAAGGGUACGAGGGUACAGUGAUGCUAGUUUUCAGACGGAUUGGGAUAAUUAUCGAUCGCAGUCGGGCUGGGUCUUUACCCUAAAUGGAGGAGCAGUGACUUGGAAAAGUUCCAAGCAGGAGACCGUAGCUGAUUCAACGUGUGAAUCAGAGUACAUUAUGGCAAGCGAAGCGUCAAAAGAGGCUAUAUGGUUGAAUAACUUCAUUGGAGACCUUGGAGUUAUGCCAUCCAUAAAGGAGCCAAUGUAAUUUUUCUGUGAUAAUGAAGGAGCGGUUGCCUUAACCAAGGAACCAAGAGAUCAUGGCAGAUCUCGACAUACCGACAGAAAAUACCACUUUAUUAGACAUCGGGUAGAAGAGGGACUCCUCGUUGUGAAGAGGGUAUCGUCAGAAGAAAACCCAGCAGAUCCCCUUACGAAGGGACUGAGUAGGGUGAAACAUUUGCAGCACGCUAGGAGCAUUGGGCUGAAGGACGAUAUAAGUUUAGAUUAGAUAGAUAAGAAACAUGUAAUAGAUAAUUUGUACUUGACAUUUGAUGAAUAAAUAAAGUUGUGUUAUUUAUGAGUAGAGCUACUAUCUUGUGUUGGUUAUUUAUAUAUUGUUUCAAUUUUGCAUGUUUUGAAUUCCUGAAUAAUAAGAUUAUUCAAACAGUCUAUAGUAGUUCAUAUUUUGGAAGUAGGUAUGAAUGAAGAUUGUCAUGAAUUUGUUUGUAGAUUGUCUAAAAGGGUUUGGGCAUAGUAAAGGUUUGCUACAAAGUUCUUGAGUGCUUAUGAAUAUUUGAGCAUUGGAGAAAACCUGCGUUUGCUGGUAUCACUGUUUUAUUACGAGUGAUUGCAAGAUGAUAAUAUCAUAUAAUCUUUAAACCUAGAGAUAUGGUUAUUGUUUGCUGGUUGAUUAUACAUUGAUAAUGCGAAAACACAUCAGUAACUUGAUGUUAUAAAACGCAUUAUUGUGUGUGACUUAGACAGUGAAUGAUAAAAGCAUAUAAGUCGAAGUUUUUCUGUUCCUUUUAUCCUAAGAGGGUAAAAGCGAUAUCUGGCCACUCGAUGAUUUGGUUUGACUUAUGUGCCGGGCCCGUUGAUGUGUCAACUAAAUUCUAUGUCGAACAAAUCAGAGAUCGAGAAACAAAGUGCUGAACAAUAAGUAUUGUAAGCAUGAUAUCUAGAACAUAGGAUUAUACGAUCCCUUAUCUAAAGGACGAGUUACUGAUCAUAGUUGACAGCAACGUGUAAGAGCUACGAUUGCUAAUCGGAUCCUGAAGUCAUAUGUGAGAUAUAGUUACUAGACUUAUACAAGUGGGAGACUGUUGGAUUAGUGUCUAAGCUCGUAACUAUAUUUGGUAUGUAUUUGACCUGGUUGUGCAUGGUCAUUUUGGGUUGCCUUCACCAAAGCAAACUGACAAUGUUAUUUAAGAAAGUGAGAGAAGAUAUUAUGGUUUAUUAAUAUAUUAUAAGAAUAAUAUAUCAUAUUAUUUGAUUAAUAUUAGUCAUAAAUUAAUUAGGAAUUAAUUUGGUGACUAAAAGAGAUUAAUUGAAUAAAGGGGCAUAAACUGUCAAAUGUGUGAUAGUUGAGUUUUGGGCUAGGAAACCUAAUUGACUAAGGGGGAAUAAAAUUAUGAUGGGGAUCCAUCAUAUUUUUGUCCAAAGGCCCUAAUCUAGAAGGUUCCAGGGGUUGCUUGGUGACUAAGUUGUCCAUUAGGGUUUAGACUGAAACCCUAGCAGCCAACACUAUAAAUAGUGGCUCUUGGAUGCAAUUUUCGGAUGCUUGACUCCAAGAGAAACCCUAGGGCCUAUUUUUAGUGUUCUUCCUACUCUCUCUUAAUAGCCUUCUUUCUUAUGGUGUUUGUGAACCAUUAGAGGAGUUACAAUUGUGACUCUAAGCUCAAGAUCAAGAAGAUUCAAAGGAUUCCAGGCAAAUUGAAAGAGGUAAACACUUAGAUCUAUUCUUAUAAUGUUAAUUUCGAAUUAUACAUGUUAGAUCUAGGGUUGCAAGUCUUGGAUUCAUUUCAUGUACAAUAGAGAAACCUAGAUCCAAGCAUUAGGGUUUGUAUGAGCACAUAAGAUUGUUCUUAUGCAUAAAACCCAUCAGAAACAACAUAUUGUUUCUUGUUUUCCAGGAUAUAGGAGCACCUCCUAAAGUAAUAAAAUAACCAGUUCUUGACUUUUUGGUAAAAGGACAACCAAGACAAUCUGAAUCACAAUAUACUAUAAGCUUUAAAUUUCCCUUUGGUGGCAAAAAAAUUCCUUGUCCUGGUGUAGUUUUAAGAUACCGUAAAACACGCAUUGCAACAUCCCAUUGAGGCUUUCGUAGAAAAGAGACGAAUUGGCUUAACAUAUUUACGACAAAUGUGAUAUCUAGACGGGUGACUUGUAAGUAAAGAAACCUUCCAACAAGACGUUCGUAUUGUCCAACAUCUACAACUAGAGUGUCUUCAUCAGCAUCUAGACGGAUGUUUUGAUCCAUGGGAACUGGCUAGGUUUGUAUCCUUGUAGACCACCGUUGUUUAAAAUGUCUAACGUAUACUUGCGUUAACUAAGGAUAAUCCCAUCGGUGGUGCGUGAUACUUCAAUGUCGAGGAAAUAUUUUAAGGGACCAAGGUCCUUGAUGCUGAAUUGAUCGUCCAGAUACGUCUUGAUUUUUGUUAUAUGGUGAUUGUCAUUCCCCAAAAGGAUGACAUCAUCUACAUAUAUGAGAGCUACAAGGUAAAGCUUGUCCUUUUGAGAAUAAAUAAGGAGUGAUCAACAUUAAAGUGCCGAAGUGAACUUGUUGUACCAAUUUUUGGAAGCUUGUCGCAGUCCAUGUAAUGACUUUGUAAGACGACAAACACAAGUAUCGUUCUCCUUCACAAAGCUUUGGUGUAUUUUCAUGUACACUUCCUCAUCAAGAUCUCAAUGCAAAAAGCGUUAUUCACAUCUAAUUGAUGGAUGGACCAAUUUUUCUGAACAACAACAACCAACAUGGUGUGCAUGAUUAAUAAUUUUGUAAUCGAGGAAAAGGUCUCAUGAAAAUCAACUCCUUCUAUUUGUGUGAAACCCUUUGCGACUAGCCUCACUUUAUAUCUUUCUAUUUCACUGGUCGGUUUGUAUUUGAUCUUGUACACCCACUUCGAAUCAAUGGCCUUCUUUCCAGGAGGUAAUGUUAUUAGAUUCCACGUGUUGUUAGUUUCGAGAGUAAUGAUCUCCUUUUGCAUGACAUCUCUCCAAUGUGGUUCUUAACUGCUUGAAAAAAAUGUUUAGGCUCAUCUUAAGAGGAGAUGGCACUAAGAUAAGCUUUAUGAGAUGUAGUGAAAUUUUAUAAGACAUAAAGAGGGAAAGAGGGUGUACCGUCGAGAUUGCUUGAUUAGCAAUAGAUGAAGGAUGGUCUAUCAAUGGAGGCAGAUAUGUUUCAUAUUCAUCAAGAUGUCGAGGUCGUGUUCUAGUUCAUGCAGGUCAGUUAGACGUGUCGGUGGGUAUUAGCAAGGUUGACGCGCUAGUAGAGGUAGAAAUGGGUUGUUCUGUGGUAGGUGCUUCUUCGAAGUUGGGCUCAAAAGAACCAUCUUGAUUGGUUGUUUCCCUUGUCGUGGCUUGUGGGUUAGAUGUUAUGGGUUCCAAAAGUGGUUCACUUAUGAAAUCAUCAUUUUCCUUUUUGUUGUUCUCCACUUCUUGGUUUGGUUUAGCAGUUUGAUAUAGAAAAACCACUCAAUGAAUUUUACGUCUCUUGAAACUAUGAACUUCUUUUCCUUUAGAUCAUAUACACGAUAUCCUUUUUAACCUUGAGGAUAUCCUAUGAGGAUAUCUUUUCCUGCCCUAUUUUCUUUUAUAUAUGCUAAGCAGCUGAGAACACGCAUAUGAUCAUAUUGUGGUUUUUGAUUAAAAAGGGUUUCAAAGGGGUAUUGUUGUUGAUGGUUCAUGAAGGUAACCUAUUGAUGAUGUAAGUAGUAGUAAGGAUACAUUCUCCCCAAAAUUAUAUAAGUAGACUAGCUUGAAAACACAGCGCUCUUGCAAUUUCUAAAAGAUGCCUAUGUUAUCUUUCAACAACCCCGUUUUGUUAUGGGGUGUGUACACAUGAGGUCUCUAAAAGAAUGGCAUGAUCUUCAUAAAACUUUGUCAUAAUAUUAGAGGUGAAUUAUCCCCCAUUAUCGAUGCGUAUUCUCUUAAUUCUUCCAUUGAAUUGGGUAAAAACCAUGUUGUAAAAAUUAACUAAAAAUAAAAUUGUGUCAUACUUAUUUUCAUCAAGUAGACCCAUGUGCUUCUACUAUAAUCAUCUACUAUUGUAAGAAAAUAUCGAGCCCUCGUCAUUGAAGGUACCCGAUACCCACCCCAUAUAUCACAUUACAUUAACUCAAAACAUGAAGUGGUUUUAAUAUUACUAUAAAAAAAGGUAACUGAGUCUUUUUAGCUUGCACACAGGAAUCACAAUGAUCAAUAUUAGCUACGCUACCUAUUGAAUUAAUUUGUUGAAAUUUAGAACUUGAAGUAUGGCCAAGCCUUCUAUGCCAGAUUUUAGAAUUCAUAGUGACAGCCAUGGCAGUAGCUCCUUUGUCUGUUUUCUCCAUAUGAUAAAGACCAUCCCUAUAUCUCCUCAUGCCAAUCAGCUUCAUCGAGUGUAAUUCAUGUAAAUAACAAUAAUCGGGAAAGAAGGUUACAAAACAGUUAAGCCCUUUGGUGAUUUUGCUAACAGAUAACAAGUUGCAUUUAAAAUCGGGAAUAUAUAGAACAUCAUUUACAUCCAAAUUGUUUGGUAAUUAUGCACUCCCAACACCUUUUACUGCAACUUUGUCUCCGUUAUGAAUUUUAACAGACACCCCAUCAUUGGAUUUCUUUAGAGAUGUUAAGACAGAAUUGCUACAUGAAAUAUGUUCUGUAGCUCCAGAAUCAAUAACACAAGAAGAAGUGAAAUCGAUUUUACCUGCCAUGUUUACUUCUGGUUUUGGUGGAUCAUUCAGUUGUGUUAGGAGUCUUUUGUAUUGAUCAAUGCUAAGGUCAGGUAUUGGGCUGCUCUCAAGUUCGACUGCAGCAGCCUUAGGUUUCGCCUUAGGGUUUUUCUUUGAAUCAUUUGUCGGUUUUCAUUAACGGGUUUCCCACCAAUUUGGGUAUCCGAUUUUCUCAAAACAACCGUCAAUAUUGUGCCCAUUUUUCUGCAGUGUUUGCAUUUAAAAAUUUUCUUGUCAACAAGACUUUUGUCAAUGUUUGUUUGGGUUCGGAUUUGAUAGGCGGCGGCUUCAACAACAGUUUUGUGGGACAUGGUAAUGCUCCUUUGUUGUUCAUCUUCUGCACCCAUGUGAUAAACAGUAUCAAGGGUCAACAUUGGAUUGUUGCUGAGUAUUUGAGUUCUAUCAGUUCCAAAAUCUUCAUUGAGACCCAUCAAGAACUCAUAGACAUUUUCUUUCUCCUUGUCCUCGGUGGGUCUUUUUCCAACAUAUACUCUGAUUUUUUAUUUGACUUUUGGAAACUAAGUUUUGUAAACAUUUAUGCUUUGUGGUUUGGUUUUGAAAAAUGAAAAUUUUACCUUGAUUUUUGGGAUGUUACAUCAAGUGUAGUGUUACAUACCUCUUGAUUUGUUGUAGUAAAUGGAUCACUUCAAUCUCCUUGUAGUGCAGGUCUUAGAAAGCUUAGCACCAAAAUGACGAUGCCUCUAAUGGCUCACACCCAAACCCUAGAACUAGAAGACAAUAUGAGAGAGGAGAGAGGAGAAUAUCAGCCAAAGUAUCCUUAGUGGAAGAGUAUGAACGAAUUUGAGGUCCCAAUGGGUCCUAUUUAUAGUUAGGUAACUUAGGACAAAACAAGAUUUGAAUGAUUAAAUAAUAGAUUUAAUCCCAAUUCAAAUCCUUUCCUUAACUAAUAUUAGGAGGCUUCUGGAAACCCUAGAAUCCAUCCUAAUUUCGUUCAUCGCCUAUAUGGGUUCUAGAAUCUUUAUUCCUUGGUGGACCUUUAAUUAAUUCCACAUUAAUUCAUAUUAAUAAUUAAUUAAUUCUAAUUUAUAUCAUUAUUAAUUCAUUAAUCAUAUAUAUUAACAAAUCAAUUUUCUAUUUCCAAUUAAUAUAUUAAUCAUAUAAUAUAUUAAUAAAUCAUUUCCACAUAAUUUCCAUUUAGUUUAUUAAUCAUAUAAUAAUCUAAUAAAUCGUACUUUCUAUAUAAAUGUUAUUCUAAUCAAAUUCUAGUUAUGAGGGCACCUAAAAAGAUGUUUCUAAUUCCAAAAAUAUAUCAAUUUAGUUACUAGCUUAGACACAUUAAUCCAAUAGAAUUGUGGGUCAACAAACCCACUUCUUGAUUAUGCCUAAAGAAAAGGAAAUAUGGCCUGCAUGGCCUUUUGAAAGAGGCAAACAUAAACAAAGCAUUAAAAGAUUCCAAUUUACCCGCGAGAAAUAUGGAUUAAACCAACAAUCUCUAUCAUUUUAUACUUUAGAAAAUCAAAUACAUAUACAUUAAGAAUGAGAAAAUAUGAAAGAAAAGUCUAAAAAGCCAAGAUUAGAAGAAACCUAAACUGAAAAAUAAAGAUUGAUGAACCUGCAAAACUCACCAAGGACCAGGGAACCCCAACCAUUGCUGGAAAUAUAGUUGAAGGUGGAAACAGAUAAGGCAGAGCAAGAGUGCACCAAUGGUGAGUUGCAACAUAUAAGGUGAUGGUGGUGGUAAGUAGAGGUGGUGCCGAAGGUGCACUUAAUAGACAUAAAGAUGGAAAUGUUAGCGUCAACCAGAAAUUAGAGUAGAUGAUGUUAUUACUCAUCAUUAGAGUGGAUCGACAGGUAUUACGUUCCAAGGAAACCCAUUCAUUGUUGCAUCUAAGUGUAUCUGCAAAAAGAAAAAAAAAGAUCAAAACCUACAAUUGAAAAUUAGAAACCUCUUCACACCACAUGUACAGAAUGAGAAAAACAAAAUCAAUGUCUGAAAACCCAAAAUCAAAAGAAACAUAAAUCGAAAAUCAAUGUCUGAGAAAUACAAAAAUCAAUGUCAGUGAGAUAGUAGAUGGAAUGAAAGAGAAAAGGAUGAGGGGUAGUGUUUUUCUUGAAAUACCGAUUUUUGAAUUACGAUGAAGUAGUAAGGCGGUGAAACGUGUCGAUUGCUCACCUUACUGCUCAGAGCCUCAAAGGGACCUAAACUAAUCAUCCAAAAAAAGAAGCCAAUAGCCGAAGAAUUUAACCGACUUUUAGGGAUACUGUUCAUAAACAAAUGUCUGAUACAAUUAUUUUUUAUUCUAAUAUAUCAAGAUCCAUUUUGUUUUACGUUGAUCUCUCAUAAGUUUUGAUACUUGCCAUUUUAUGGUAUUUUUGAAAUAAAUAAUAUUCACAUGUCAAUUUCUAUUUUUUUCAAUUUUAAAAAUUAAAAAGCCGCAUAAUCUCUCUCUCUCUCUCUCUCUCUCUAUAUAUANGAAUACUUUCUUAUUCUAAAUCUUAAUGGUGAGGCCAAAAUCAUUGAUAGUUUCCAAUAUUCCAGCUCAUUACACUACAACCCUACAAAUAAUAUUACGCAAAAUUAAGAGAAAUUAAAUAUGCUCGUACCUUUCCUUCCUAUUUAUCUUUCUAACCAUGAGAAAUGAUGACACAUGUUUAAACCUACUCUAAUAAAUAAAGAACUUUUUGUCACAUGUUAUACUCUUAUUUAUUUUGCGACAUGUAUUUUUAUAGUUAUUUAAAAUUAAAUUUUUUUCCACAUGUUAUUUUAUGUUUUUUUUUAUUUCAUUAAAUUCCACAUAAUAUUUAAAUGUAAUAAUUGCAAUAAAUGUAAUAAUAAUUGAAUAUCAAUUUCAUUAAUGGACUUUACCCUAUUAAUUUCUUUGUUUAUUUAUCUAAAUUAAUUGUAUGAAGUUAAAAAAAGAAAAAAAAGACAAUUCAAUAUUAAUAAUUCAAUAUUUUAGUCAUUUUUAUAUAAAUUUAAACUUCCUAAAUAUUUAAACAUUUAUAUUUGACUUUUUUUUUUUAAAUAAAUUCAUGUAAUACAUGAAUCUCAUAACUAUUUUAUUCUAAUAAAUAAAGAAUUUUUUAUCACAUGUCAUACUCUCAUUUAUUUUGCCACGUGUCAUUUUAUAGUUAUUUUAAAUUAAUUUUUUUCUCACAUAUCAUUUUGUGGUUUGUUUUUUUCAAUUUAUUAAAUUUCAUAUAAAAUUUAAAUAUAAUAAUUACAAUAAAUAUAAUAAUAAUUGAAUAUCAAUUUUAUUAAUGAACUUGCCUUCUAAUUUCAAAAUCCCUAAAUUAAAACCCUAUUAGUUUUCUUUGUUUGUUUAUCUAAGUUAUUUGUUUAAAGUUAAAGAAAACAAAAAACAAUUGUAACGCUCUGUUCUGAAUCGAUUCCUAGUCUGAGGCUGUGGCCCGAAGGUCGGUCAUCAUAAGGAUUAGGGCUUUUGAAAAGGUAAGAUCUAGGCCCAUUUGGGUGCGAGUGAUGCAUUAGAAGUGAUCCGGAUGUUCGGUUCAUGUUUUGGAGCCUAGGGGUAUUUCGGUAAAGUGUCAGUUUGGGCUUCUGUGGAAAAUGUACUUUUGUUCGGAAAGUCUUAAGGAAGGUAUGGGUUGAUAGAAGUGUAGGGCUUCUCGUCACUUUUCCGUGGAUAUAAGGAUCGUUGAGAUCAGGCUUAUAAUGAAGAAGUUAUGGCCUUCGGAAGUUUCGUGGUUUUCAAGCUUAGCCGAGUACACGGGGUGUACACAAAGAGUACGCGGGGCGUAUUUGUGAGGAAGGUAGUACGCAGGGCGUAUUGGAGUACGUUGGUGUAACAACCGUCAAGUUCUGGUCAAGUCAAAGUCAAACUAAGUCAACAAGUCAAACCGGUCAACUCAACUAGUACUUAUAUGAUAGGACUUACUCUUUGUUUUCUAGUGUACAACUCUCUAUCUUAAUACAAAGUGUCACUAAGAAGUUUCAUAUGUUCAGAAAUUCUAAACCCGAAGCAGGGUGAGUGAUGUAGCGACUCUAUAAAGCACUAUUACGUACCCUUCGGGGGCGUAUAACACUCAUAACUAGGCGUAGUGGAGUUUAUAAUCCUAGCACUACGGAGCAAAACACUAACAAAGGCUACAAUCAAAGUCUCUCUUAAUCUCUCUCACUCUAUCUCUCUCUCUCUCUCUCCUAAAUCUCUCUCAAAAACUCUUUCAACUUUUUAUAAACACCCGGGUCAUCCCGACUCUUCAAUUAGUUGAAAACCACUUGAAACGGGAAGAUUUUAUGAAAAACAGCCCAUAUGGUGCGAAACCUCUCAUGAGUGAAAAACUAUUGGGUCUAAAAUUUGGUUUAUACUUUGCUUUUCUAAGCAUUUAUUGUUUUAGGUCUAGGACCAAAAACCGUCUUGGAUUUUGUUGUAGCUUGGACCGAAAACUCAUGCGUUUUCGGUCAAGCAAUUGGGUUUUCGGUAUGGGCUUUGUACUUUGGAUCCAUAGGUAUAUAUAGUGGGUCUUUAGGCGUGUUUUAGUGGUAGAGAACAAGGUGUGGGCAUUUUCGGUCAAGAGGGAGUGAGGAGAGUUGGCCAUAUUAUAACGAGCAUGUACUAGAAAGAGAAAGCAGAGAGAAGAAGUGUAUGUGUGUAUGUGUGAAUCUUGUGUACAUGGAGCAUCAUUGAAUAUUACUGAAUACAUUGAAGAUUCAUCAAGUUCUUCUUCUUCUUCUUCUUCUUCUUCUCCAUUUCUAUCUUGCAUCAUCCACUUGAUUGGUAUUCCGCACCAUCAAGUGGAUCGGAUUGAUACGUCAAACGAUUUUUGGGACUUACAGUUGGUAUCAGAGCUUGGAUCGUAUCAAUUAAAUUGGCAAGAUAUUGAACAUUUUUGGAUUUUUUUUCUUGAAGGAUUUGACAUUUUUGAUAAGUUUUUGAAGAAAUAUUUGGAGCUUUUUCUUCGUGUUCUUCAUAAAAUGGCUUUUUUAUCGAGUUUUGGAGCUACAAAAGGUGAAAAAUUGCAUUUUUUGGUCGUAAUCAGUGAGUUCCGGUGGCCAUUUUCGCACUCAGCUAAGUUUUUCCAAGGAGUUUUCGGUCAGAAGCUUGUUUACGGCCGAAAGUGAUUUGCGGUGGAGCAUGUUCGAAGAGUUUGCGGUUGAGCGUCCGGAGGCCGAAAUCCGUUUUCGGUGCGAGGUCUCGCACGUGUUCGGUUCACAGGUUUUCGUUCACCACGUGUUCGGUCAACAAAUUCGUUUUCGGAUGGUGCGGGUCUUCCCAGUUUAGUUCAGGUAGCCUCGCGAUUUUGGUCCUAUUUUCGAAUUUUUGGCAUUUUUGGCCCAAAAAUCAAUAUUUUGAAUUUUUAAGUUUCGUUUUCAACAUAAACCUUUGACUUUUGAUUUUUGACUAUCAUUUCUGACUUUUGACCUUAAAAUUUGACUUUCUCUUCCAAGUUUGACCUUUGACUUUAAACUUUGACUUUCUCAUUUAACUUUCAAAUUUUCACGUUUGGCUUUUCGGUUUGACUUUUUAAAUUUGACUUUUAAGGUUAAUUUUCAAGGUUUCAAGUCAAAGGGAAUUUUUGGUAAGCAAUGAGUUCCUCAAACACCAAGGCCAAUGAAGUUUCAUCUUCUCAAUCUUGUGAAGCUACUAUUAAGUUUCUCCGUGAUCAAAUCGAUAUAUUAAAAUGAGAAAAUGAGGGCCUUAAAUAUGAAGGAUAUACACUUAGGAAAGGUCAAAAACCCUUAAAAGCACAACUAGAGACCAAAACCAAGGACUUUAGAAAACUUCAAGAGGAAUAUAGCAACAAUUGUGGGAAUUAUACCUAUGUUAAGGAACAACUUGCUAACUUGACUGCCGAACUUGAUGCAUUAAAAGCUAAAUAUAAAGAUGCAGAUUUUACCUUUAAGAAAAUUGAUGUGUCAAGUGAGGUAGCUGCAUCCAUAAUAGAAAAAAAAAUUAACAUUUAAAGAUAAUCAAAAUAAGGGUCUAGGGUAUCAUAGUGUUCCACCUCCCUUCAAUGCCAACUAUACCCCACUCCUUGAAAUCAAUGAAGAAGAGACACCUGCUCAGUGUAGCUAAACCCCUGAACCAGCUUCAGUUAAGACUGAACAAUCUGGGCCAACUGAGAAUACUGAGGUGAAAGAUGCUAAUGUUUCUACUUCAUGUGCAGGUCAAGUAGUAGAAGAUGAGAACAAGGAGAACAUAAUUAAUUCCAAUUAUGUUGAUUCUAUUGACUGUCAAACAAAUAUCUCUUUAAACUUUGAAUAUGUUGCUUCUAAUCAACCUGCCGUUGGUAAAUACAUGCCACCAAAACAAGCGAAGCAGACUGCUUGCUGCAAGUGUGCUUGUGGGAACAAUUUGAGACAAGGCAUGACAACGCCACCACAGGCAGGCAGAAAAAACUCCUACGUGAAGAAACAUACAUGUUUUCACUGUGGAACACAUGGACACAUUGCCAGAAAUUGUACAAAUUGCGCAUACAUUCCCUACUAUGCACAAGGUUGGCAGAACGCGCCAAGAGGGAGAUUUUUCAAAAGAAACCCCUCAAGGCCACGUUCAAAUAAUGGUGAAUGGAACGCCAAAAAGGCCAAGAAUCCAACUCCCAAGAACAAGAAGUGAAUGUCGGCCAUGAAGUCAAAUUUAAGAGAUGCUUCAGUGAAACCAAGACCGGUUAGGUCAAAGUCAUCUUGGCGAUCGACUUCAAGUUCAAAAGCAAGCGAUAAGGCACCCGAUCAACUGAACAAGAAAUGGGUUAAACUCGACUACAGAUGGGUCCCUAAGGUUCACACUCCCAAAUCAACCAAUGAUUCUAACAUUUCUUCAUCUUCUGUUUGUGAUAAACAAGAUAUGUCAUGGGAGAGAGUACCUUGAAAAGAUGACAAAGGUCAACCUAGUUUCAAAAUGGACUGGGUUCCAAAGACCAAUUAACCCCAAACUCUGUGCUGGAGCAGCUAUGGAGGCAUAUCAUCAAACUUCGGUUUGUUGGUAGUGGCAAUUCCUGGAACAUGAUAAGGGACAUCUCUCAACUAUACAACAUUCAAAACUUUGUUUGAGAGUAUGUGUCCUUUACGGGAAGGGAAAAAGGAAAGGAUCACAAAUGGGGUUUGUGCUUAACGAUGUGAAGAAUUUUCGGAUCUAUUCCAAGAUUGAAAUAUGCGUGUUACUCACAGAUUAUCUGGUUGCAAUUUCAAUUGAUGACUUAUGGUUUGAGUUUUCUUAUCGAUAUUCCUGAGUUUUUCUUAAAAUGAUUCAGUUUGAAGACAAUCUUUUAUUUUCUUAUAGUUUUUCUUUGGUAGGUGUUAAGGGAAGUGAUAUCAAGUAUAGUGCUAAAGGGCAAUAUGAAAUUUGUGUAAUGCAUUGAAGCUGAAUUGCCUAGACUCUAUGAUAGACACAAAGGAUUUAAAAGGACUAGAUGUAGAUUGACAAUGAAAGGACUUGACAGUGUGGACUUAGAUAGUUUCUUUUGGUCUGACAAUACGACGCUUGGGUAGAUUGAGCAGUGAGAUAAACAUGAGAACUUGCGGGAUACACUCAAAAUCCUAUGUAUAUAGAAUUGUUGCUUAACGUUUCCUCGAUGUAUGGACUCAUGUCCUUAAUUUCGGUACUGAUAGGGCAACUGGGGGGUUCUGAUAAAUUAGGUUUGUAGGAAAUUAUUUUCUUGCUUUCUAUAUGUCGGUCAUAUGUUGCCUACUCUGCGUGAUUGGAAUAUAUCCGACCUGGAAUGCAACAUAUGCAACUCUAUCUCUAUGCAUCUCCUUAUUUAUGCAAUUAUUUCUAUCUGUUAGCCAUAUGUUGUUUCCUCUGUGAUCGGAAGAUCCAACUUGGGACACAACAUAUGCACCCUACUAUCUCUCUAACCCUCUAUCUAAGUUAGUCAUAUGUUGUUUCCUCUGCGUGAUUGGAAGACAUUCGACCUGGGAUACAACAUAUGCAUUUCUAUAUCUAUCUUCUCUCUGAAUGAUUGAAUACUCACCUAAAGUAAGGAGUUCUUUGGAAGUUCUUGAUUACCGGGAUAUGUCAGGAAGUGGGGAGCACGUUCUAGUACAUCUAAAAUUGAAUCAUUUAAUAGGUUGUCUGUAGAUCUUGCUGCUGAAUUUAAGUGGACAACAAUAUCAUUGGUCUUCAUAAGCCAAAUGGUCCAUUUAGGAAUAUAUAUAUAUAUAUAUAUAUAUAUAUNUCUGUCCAAUUUGUCAAAUAACCUUUGUGUUUAAGUGGAUCACAAUACCGGUGAUUGACCAGAUCUAAACAUGCAUGUGUGUGCUGAUAAACGAUAUUGAAUUGUUUGACAACUUUGAUCCUAAAAAGUUUUAAAUUUAGUUAUUAUUGUUGUUUUUGUUAAAUUUAUUCAUAGUUUUCCUAUAUGCUCAAAUUUGGGGGAAGAAUUAAAAAAAAAUCAAACAAAAAUCAGAAAAAUUAAAAAUCUAAAAAUAGUGUUAUUUCUGUUUUAUUUCUAAAAAAAUAGUGUUAUUUAUGUUUUAUUUCUUUUUUAGAAAAUUCAAAAAUCCAAAAAUAUUUUUGUUUCUGUUUUCUUUUUUUCAAAAAAUAUUAAAAAUCCAAAAAAUAUUGUGUCCUAAGUUUGUUUUUGAUUUUGUUUUUAUUCCAAAAGUUUUUUUUGUCUUGAAAAGCGAAUCAGGGAACUCAAAGGAAGAAGAGACUCAAGGAAACUGUAUCGAAACUUUCUGAGCCAAGGUUACAUGCUUGAAACAACGGUGGUGAGAUGGGUUUUUCAUAACUCUAUGAUCCACAGAGACUUUUUAGUCAUUUGUUAUUUUUCAAGGCGCAACAGUGAUCGUUGAAGAAUUCUCAUUCGAAGGAACAAGAAAUGAAGAUUAUUUAUCAACAUUCAAUCUUUCAACCCCAGAAGCAAGGUGGAGUUGCACUUGAAGAUUAUGUGACAGAUUGCAUUGAAGCCUCCUCAAUCAAUUUGCUGCUAUCUAUGAACCUGCUGAAGUGAUCCAGAAGAUUCGUUCUCUGUUAUUCUCUCUGAAGAUUCUCAAGCUCAAAGUGCAGAUUUUCAAGAAUCUUUUCAAGAAGCCUCCACACCCAACGUGCGUUCAAAGUCAAAUUUUGAAGAAAUGCCCAAGCAGCCCAAUUGUUCAAGAUGAAGUCACUCACAUAGAAGAUUCGUUCUCUGUUAUUCUCUAUGAAUAUUCUCAAGCUCAAAGUGUAGAUUUUCAAGAAGCCUCUACACCCAACGUGCGUUCAAAGUCAAAUUUUAAAGAAAUGCCCAAGCAGCCCAACUGUUCAAAAUGAAGUCACUCACGUAGAAGAUUCACAUGCUCAUGUUGAAGUCGUGAAGAAAUCGAAAAUUAAUGCUGAAGCCAAGCUCAUAUUGAAGAUUGACAAGCAAAGCAAGCUACAAUUUUAGGAGGAGUUUGUUGGGUCAUAAGAAAAGAAAACUAUAAACUAAGGGGGAGAUUGUUGGGUCUAAAAUUUGGUUUAUACUUUGCUUUUCUAAGCAUUUAUUGUUUUCGGUCUAGGACCGAAAACCAUCUUGGAUUUUGUUGUAGCUUGGACCGAAAACUCAUGUGUUUUCGGUUAAGCAAUUAGGUUCAUGGUUUAGGCUUUGUACUUUGGGUCCACAUGUAUAUAUAGUCGGUCUUUAGACGUGUUUUAGUGGUAGAGAACAAGGUGUGGGCGUUUUCGGUCAAGAGGGAUUGAGGAGAGUUGGCCAUAUUGUAAGGACCACGUGCUAGAGAGGGAAAGUAUAGAAAAGAAGUGUGUGUGAAUCUUGUGUACAUAGAGCAUCAUUGAAUAUUAUUGAAUACAUCGAAGAUUUAUCAAGUUCUUCUUCUUCUUCUUCUUCUUCUUCUUCUUCUUCUUCUUCUUCUUCUUCUUCUUCUUCUUCUUCUUCUUCUUCUUCUUCUUCUUCUUCUCCAUUUCUAUCUUGCAUCAUCCACUUGAUUGGGAUUCCGCACCAUCAAGUGGAUCGGAUUGAUACGUCAAGAGAUUUUAGGGACUUACAGAAACCCCCCUUAAAUGUGAGACCUCUCAGACCGAGCCCUCCUUUCGCAGCGAACCGACAAGUUUUGCAGGUAUCCGACCAACGCUCGCAACGAACCUUCUGAAUCUCGCACUCAGUUCCGACCUUCGCAUCUGAUACUCUUGCUAUGAACCCUCUCGCAUCAGAAACGUCACCUGCCUGCAAACCCUCUCGCAUACAGCCUUCCCUUGGCAUGUUCGCAUCUUUUUCCCAAUUUUUGACCACUUUCGCAUUUUAAGCCCCGUUUUUUACAUGGGAUUUUCACCAAAUUUAUAAUUUUGACAUUUUAAACCCUCUAAACUUAUAUUUUAGUCCCAUCUUGAAGAUUUAUUUAAUAUAAAUCAUAUUUUUCUUAGGAUAAUAUCAAGAGUACAUAAAGUAUCUCUUUGACUUUUCUCAUAAAGUUAUGACACCAACCACCCUCAUAUCAACUCUAUGACAACUUUAUGUGACUAUUCACAUCUAGCUAGUCAAUUCAUUUAGCUUCUUCAAGGCUCUUUCCAUCCAAUCAACCUUUAUGGACAAAACCAAGAGAUUUCUUUUCACUUCUCCAAGAUUGAAUAUCGAUUCUAAGCUUACUGUUCCUAUGCCUAAUCCAACUGCUUAGUUAAGGUUGGUACCGUUGAAAACUAUUGUCUAUGUUUGGAGGGCUUGUAUUGAUAGGCUUCCUUUGGCUGUGGUUCUCGCUCGAAGGGGUAUUUAUGUCUCGAACAUCUCCUGCUAGUACUACAAUGGUGGUAUCGACGAUUCUAAUCAUUUUUUUCUAAGUUGUCCUCAGGUGGAAAUUUCCCUAAGGUGGAUCUUCACUUACUGUAGUAUCCCUUAGCAAAAUUCAGUUAGGGGACUUGUGCAUUUUGCUGCAACUAGGGGGAAUUGUCCAAAAAAGGAAGAUUUUGUUGGUCAUCCUAUAUGGUUUCUUAUGGUGUAUUUGAAAAGCAAGAAAUGACAUCAUUUUUAAUAAUAUGAGUGUUUCUCUUUCUAUGUUGGCGGAUAGUAUGCUCGCUAUGGUGUUUGGUUGGAUCAAACAUAGAGGUAAUUACGGGAAUUGUAAAUGGAUGGUUUGAGUUUGCUCUCCCUUUAAUAUCAUGUAAUUGUUUUUGUUUGUAUUAUGUUUUCUUUUCUUUGCCCGAACUUGUUUCUGUAUAGGCCGUGGUUUUUAAUAAAAUUUCGUCGUUUUCCAAAAAAAUAAAUGCCAAACGUUUUAAAAAUGUGAUGAAUUUCAAAAUUUGAUUUCGUAAAAUUAAAUAAAGCAAAUGUCAAAAACUCAAUGUUAUGUUAAAAUUAAAUGCGAAAAUUGAUUUCUUGAAAUAUAAAUUUGCAACAUUAAAUUCCGAAAUUAAUCUUGCCAAACUUCUUUUAAUGAUAGUUAUACUAAAAUUAAAAAUAAUAAAAAACAAAUAAAUAAAUAUGUUUGUUGGCAACUAUGUAUUUUUUUUCCUGACAUAAGCCAUGCUAUUUAUAUUUCCAAUUGUUAAUGACUAUCAUUUUUUCGAAUCUAUUUUCAAAUUUAAUAUAAUAUGUUCAUUACAUGUCAUUUCCAAUGACAUGAGUAGGUUUAUUUUUUCUUUCUUUUUUAAUAAAAACUAGUUGUAAGGCCAUAUAUUAUAUGGGUUAAUUUAAAAAUAAAAAGUUCAAUAUAAAUAUCAAAAUAUUUAAGAACUUUGAAUUUAUAAGAUAAUAAGAAAAAUAAUGAAUUAUUAUAAUGUAAUGUUUGUUAUCUUUUAAAUUUAAACAAAUAAUUUAAGUAAGAAAAGAAAAUAAUGAACUUUAAUUUUAGGAAUUUUGAAAUUAAAAGACGGUUUAUUAAUGAAAUUAGUAUCCAUUUAUUGUUAUAUUUAUUACAAUUAUUAUAUUAAAAUAUUAUGUAGAAUUUAAUAAAAUAGAAAAACUCAUAAAAUGACAUGUGUAAAAAAAAUUCAUAAUAACCACUGAUGAGAUUAAAAAAAAAAACUUUAAUCUAUGAAGAUCGAUUAGAUCUCAAACAGGUAAGUAAAUAUAAAACUAUAAGAACACGAAAAUAAGAACGAGACAAGAGUGAAUCAAACGUGUCGAAUGAUUAAACAAAAUCCUCAGAAGAGCUCGAUUAAGAACAUCAACUGUAGAGGAUUAGUAGGUUACAAGAACGAUCAAAGAAAUCUGUAAUACUAUCGUUACGCUCUUGAAUAAUCGUUAACCUAAUAUGCAUGCAAGCAUAUACUUAUAUAUUAAACAUAAUGGGCUCUCGGUUGGACAGGCCCAAACCGGAAUACAAAUAAAAUAAAUAAACAUUCGAGCCCAACGACGCAACACUUGAGCAAAUCUUCAACCCAACAAUCUCCCCCUUUGCGUCAAUUGGAGCGAGACCUUCAUUUGUUACUUGGGCCAGCAGCGGAGCCAGGUACCUUCUUCUUCACAGUGUUAAACAGACGAGAGAUCAGUGCCAGAAUCGUCUGCCUAAACCUGAUGUACCACUGGAUCAUGUCAUUGAAGUACUUAACAUCAUCCGCUGUAUUCUCUUUCCACCUUCGAAUGAUCGAUAGUACAUGCUCUAGACAAGCAGUGGUGUAGAGAUGUUUGUCAGCUAAAGCAAAGAGACAUUUCUGUCCUUCUGCUCUAGUGAACAUGACCGAAUUGCGUCUCGGGUCGAUCUUGCCCAUCUUCAUCUGAUUGAGAUCACUGGCCGAUCCCACAGGAGCUAUCUUCGGUUUCUUCUUGAAGACAGUAGCAACCUCCUGAUCCAUCAGGGCAACCUCCAUGAUAUAACAAACAAUCAUCCUCUUGAUAUGGUCUAUAAUCGGACCAUAUUCAGCUUCAUUUGUCAAGAGGAUGUUGUGCAGAACAAUCCAAUCAUGAGGAUUUAAGUUCGGUAGAUCCGCCAGGGAGAUAUGAUGUGCAGUUCUUGCAGAUCCCCGAAUCACCUUGAACCGAACGUUUAUGAAUCUACCUUCGGUGUAAGGCUUCAGUACCCGAACGCUUACUAUCUUCUGGGCGCUCCAAGUUAGAUAUUGAGGACGAGCAGCCUUCAGAUAGAAGUCGAUGAGCUCCCUAUCAAGCUCAGCGUUCGGAUGAGGGACUUCAAAGAUAUUUGAGAAGGCAUGGAAGAUGAAUGCCUUUCGAGUCAACGGCAUGUCGAACUGCGAAUCGACAGAAUUAUCGCAGUCGAACGAAAUCACCGGCUCGAGCCAUAAUAUGCUGGGAGUGUCUAUGGCCUCUUUGAUCAUUCGCUCCCGAGUCCAGGCAGGGAAGAGAGUCUUCCUGCUCUCGAGGAGAUCGUGGGCUUCCUUCUGCUUGCGUUCGGCUUCUUCAGCCUCUCGCGCCACACGAUUUACGUCUUCAUCCACAUUGCGACUGUUCUUUCGUUUCAACAUGUCCGCAAUGGUCUCCUUGUCUUCAUCUUCAUCUUCUUCCUCAGCUAUAUUUUUCCCUUUGUCCUUCACACCCGAACCCGAAGCUUGACCAGUCGGAGGUGGUUCGGUUGUGUGAGUAGCUUUGGAGGAAGGAGGUGGUUUCGAUCCGGUCUUCUUCUCUUCUCCCCCUUGUUUCGGAAUGGACACGAAACUAGGUAAGCCUUCUAUUUUGCUGAGAAGGUCCAUGGCAGGAGAGAGCUUUUCAGCAAGGGUUCGCCUCACCGAAUGGUUUAGAAUCGGAUCAUGUGCUUCUAGGAUGUUGGAUAAGGCAGCGUGUACAUCCGAAACACAUGUCUUGAUGACCUCCCUUUCGGAUCGAAGAGCUUCCAGCUGUUGUUGAGAGUUGGAUAGCUGAGUGCUCUUGACCUUUAGGGCGGUGGUUUUGCUUGCGAGAACGUCCAUCAAAGAGUUUUCAGCCGCAAGAUCCUCUUGUAGCUUAGCAAGAUGCUGACCGAUGGAGGCACGAAGGGCCAAGUUGUCGUCGCUUAUGGUUUGGCGAAAGGGCAGCGAACGAAGUCAACUCCGUUGAGACGAACUUUGCCAAUUGCUGAACAAUCGGUUCCAAAGUUGUCUUGGUAGAAUCCGUACUCUCCUGCAGCGACUUCAGCAGAGAAGAGGCGUUUGAGAAUAGUUUAUCGACUUUUGCGGUCGCAGCCUCACAGGCUUUGGUAGAGGCGUCAAUGGCGGCAGUAGCUGAGGCUACCGAAUCAUGUUGAGCCCUGGAGAAGGCAUCAACAAUCUUCUGAAGGGCAGCUUCAGAGAGAGAGGACUGCUGGUUGGAAGAUGAGGCGAGAAGUAGGUCAACCUUCUCGUUGAGCUCCUUAAGAUGCUUCUUUGUCACUGGAGCAUCAUCCUCUUCAUCNGAAGAGGCGUCUGAGAAUAGUUUAUCGACUUUUGCGGUCGCAGCCUCACAGGCUUUGGUAGAGGCGUCGAUGGCGGCAGUUGCUGAGGCUACCGAAUCAUGCUGAGCCCUGGAGAAGGCAUCAACAAUCUUCUGAAGAGCAGCUUCAGAUAAGGAGGACUGUUGGUUGGAAGAGGAGGCGAGAAGUAAGUCAACCUUCUCGUUGAGCUCCUUAAGAUGCUUCUUUGUCACUGGAGCAUCAUCCUCUUCAUCACUCUGAACCUGAAACGGACUGAAAUAGACCGAAUCAAAGGUCAUGUGAUCACCGCCAAGGAAAGGGUUUUCUCCAUCAGAGGCAUUUUCUGGAGAUGGAGGGGGUGGUGAAGCUGGGGGUGUUGUGGGUUUUGAGGAUUCAGGUUGAGUAUGGGGUGGGGUAGUUUCGGGUGGUGGUUGAGUGUGGGUAGGUUCGGUUGUAUGGGUUUCGGUUUGAGGUGGUUCGGUUACGGGUGGGGUUUCGGUUGCACUGGUAUGAACCCCCGUAUCAGAUACGUUGGUUGUAACCUUUGCAGUGGUUGUUGUUGUAUCAGUGAAAAUGGGUGGUGGUAUAGGAAAAGAGGUUGGGGGAAUAGUGGUAGUGGGGUUUAUGGUCGGAAUGGAAGUAGGGAUAGUUUGUGUGGGUGAAGGGAUGGGUGAAUGAUGGAUUUCCAUGUCUGGAGUAGGAGAUCGGGGUGGGGUGUUGCCUCUUUGAGGGGUUUCGCCUCCUUGAGAGCCGUCCGAACCCGAACUCUCACCUUCCGAUUCACUUGAAGAGGAAGGGAUGACAAGCUUGCGCUUCGGUUGAGUCUUCCUCCUCUUCGGCUGUGGGGACUGUGCAGCCUUUGUCUGUUUCCUCUUCUUGGGAGAAGGACCCUUAGUAGCUUUGGUCGCUUGCUUCCCUUUGUCCGCCUUUUUGCCCCUUGGCACCGGUUUGUCAGCAUCGUGGAUGGACUUGAGCAUUUCCGGUGUGAGUUCCCUUGGCCCUGACUGUUUGAACUCCUUGAUCGUCCUGAUGAUCCUGCUGUCAGAAGGAACAUCGCCAUACAUUGUCUCCGGAAUUGAGCCAAUGAAGGAAAAUUUGGACGCAUCAGAGACGAUUAUCUUGGUGGUAUGAAAAGUACCAACCGAAGACAUCACUGCACCAGCAGCAGUAGGGAUAUCCAGCUUAUCCAUCGCCCACUUGGUGAUAAGGAUCCAGAAUCGGGCCAGCGACACCUCAGAAUGUCGAGAUGAAGAAGAAAGGCUCUGGAUGAGCUGUUACCAGAGGACCAACCCAAAGUCCAAGUUAAUCCCGUUGUAGACCGCAUACAUGAUCAACAAGAAAAGGCGAUUGGCACCGUCAGAUCCUGAGCUCCGUUCCGACAAGCACUUGAAGAGGACUGUGAACAUGCCAUUCCACUGCGGCGGCCAGCAUGACUUCUUGAAUUUCGCAACGGAGACGAGCGCCUCCGUGUACCCCAUGUUAUAAAACAUGUUGUAAAGAUGGCCCACUGGAAUCGAUUCCGGAUGGAUUCUUGAAGAGUCAGCAGCAAACCCUAGCAGAGUGCAGAAUCGCUGCCUUGAAAUCGAGGUCUUGUGAUCGACAACUUCAAAGAAUACCCGCUCAAUUGCUUUGUCGUCAUACGCAGUUGCAUACACCUGUGAGAGAGCCACCAUUGGUACAGACUCAAUCCUUGAGAGAGCUGGAGCUAUUUGAGAGUACUUCAAGCACUCAAUGAUCGACGACAUGUAGGAGUCAUACGCCAGAGGGUUGAGAUCAAUCACCAAACAUUGUUGUGGACGGAUGGGAAGGAUUUGUGAGGUAGCAUGGACAGAAGAGGAUUUAGCCAUUGUUGAAGGUAUGAAGAAGAUGAUGAACAGGAAAGCUUUUUGGGAGUAUUUGUUCGCUUGAAAUUUCGGAGGCAGUAAAGAGGUAAAUGGUGGUGAAGACGGCCUUUUAUAGUGGGUUAUAGGAGAGAGAAAAAUCCUUUCAAAUCUUUUAUGGAAAUACGAAAAGGUUUCCUGAGUGACAGAAGGAUGACAGUUGAGGCGUGCGAUGAUCACGUAGGAGAGAGAGUGUCAGAUUCCUAGGAUCACGCCGCCCAACAAGCGCCGUUUCAGGGAGAAAACCGUUUCAAUUCCUCACGCGCCUUUAAUUGCCAGAGAGAUGACGCUUGGAUUUCGCACACGCGUCCACUUUGUCAGUAAAAGUGUGGCCGUUUCAAAUUCACACGCGCCCAUUUUAAUUGCCGGUUGAAAUUCAAUCCUUUUAAUUUCCCGCCUGAGUCAGCAACUCUUCGCCUUAUCUUUUUGAAUCGCAUCUUUUGAAUUAACUGCCCACGUGGAGGAUUGUUGACCACGUCUUAAUUAUUAACCACCAAUUCAAUAAAUCAGCCUGAAAUUAAUUAGUAACGGAAUUUUGGAAAAUCAAGGAUUUUCGUGCAAAGAGUGUAAAAAGAAAAGAAAUAAAGCAACUCUUUUUAGGAUUAACUGUGAUGUCAAUAAUGACACGAAACUGAUGAUCCCGGGCACGAAUCUCUUCCUUCAAGGUCAAGAGAGACCUUAAAGUGUUAAUGUGGAUUCCCGUUGAAUUACGAUCAAACACUUUUUAAGAAAUGUUGAAAGGCUUCUUUUAAUUAGGCUACUUUAGGGUGGCUUUCGCUUUGAUGCAACAAUUCUAAUCUUGAAAUAAGAAAGAAAGUGAUCAAAGUACUUGUGAGACCGGUGUAGUCUGUUGAACAAGUAGGUAGGAAUGUAUUUGAAAUUGGCUUGGAAAAUAUAAAAUCUCAAAAAAAUAAAAACUGGAUCCCAAGGGAAGAAAUGUUAUGGUAUUUAACGAUUUCAUAGGAAUCACACAAAAUAAAAUUUGAGAUUUCAUGAAAGGUUAUCCGUCAAUUCUUUGGUGAAAACUUGAGCAAAUUAAUUGAUCACCGUCAAUUCAGUUUUGGUGUUGAAUUUUGGGUUUCACUCAGCUCGUAGUGACACGAAACUAAGAUCAUAAACACAGAUGUUGUGUAACCAUAAACCUCAGUGGUAAUUUCUGAGAGUCUCAAGGGUUACGUUGAUGAAACGAAUGUAAUGGAGAAAUGUAAUGGAGAUGGUGUAAGAAGAUAAAGUACCUCUGCUGCGAAAAUAAGGACCAAGCAGAAAAACUCUUAACUCAUGUGAGAAGAGAGUGAGGUAGCUCACGAUUAGAAUAAAUGUGGUAGCCUUAUUGGGAAGACAAGGUUUGUGUAUACCAGGUCAUGAAGGCUGUUAUUCAAAAUCUUAUGAGGCUUGGGACACAUACAGCAGCAUGCUUCUAGGGACACUUAAGUAAUUCAUCAAUUAUACCCCCAUAAACGAACGAACACACAACAAAAAAAAUAAAAAAAUAUUUUUGGAGUUUUUGAGAUUUAUUAAAGAAAUAAUAAAGAAAUAAAAGAAAAGAAAAAAAUUUUGAAUAAAAUUAAACAAAUAGUAAGAGAAAAAAAAAUUAGUCUUAAAAAAAACUUUAGAAAAAAAUGAAAAACCGAACCCGAACGUUCGGUUGGGAAAAAGUUGAAAAACCGAACCCGAGCGUUCGGUUGGUUUCGGUUGCAGAAAAUUUUGAAAAACCGAACCCGAACGUUCGGUUGGUUUCGGUUCAACAAAAUUUUGAAAAACCGAACCCGAACCUUCGGUAGGUUUCGGUUUUGGAAAAUUUUGAGAAACCAAAGAAUUUAGACAUGCAAUUGGAAAAUACUUUUAACACAAAGAAAAACAAAAUUGUACAAGAAAUAUACAACAGAGAAAAACUACCUUUGAAGUAAUGAGCGAGUCAGAUGGUUGAACCGAACCCGAACGUUCGGUUGGUUUCGCUUCUUACGUUUGAGGUUGAGAGGUAGUGUGAGGUACUGACUCUGAUUCCAUCAUACCUAGCCCUUGCAAUAUUUUAUUGAAUGAUGCUUCAGGAAGAGCUUUGGUAAAGACGUCAGCCAGUUGAUCAGUGGUUCUUACGAAGUGAACUUCGACGUUUCCAUCUUCCACGUGAUCUUUGAUGAAGUGAUACCUCAGUGCUAUGUGUUUGGUUUUAGAGUGUUGCACUGGGUUAUGACAGAUCCUAAUUGCACUUUCAGAGUCACAAUAUAGUGGGAUCUUCUUCAUAUUGAGUCCAUAGUCUCGAAGUUGACUCUGGAUCCAAAUCACUUGUGAUGUGCAGGAUGCAGCGGCAAUGUAUUCCGCUUCGGCAGUAGACAACGACACACACGUUUGUUUCUUGGAUUGCCAGCUGACCAACUUCCCGUCAAGGAAUUGACAGCCACCAGUUGUGCUUUUUCUGUCGAGUCCACAUCCUCCAAGGUCAGCAUCAGAAUAGGCUUGAACGAAGAAGCCUGAGUUGGAUGGAUACCAUAGACCUAAGGAGGUGGUUCGCUUGAGAUAGCGUAAGAUGUUCUUCACUGCAAGCAUGUGAGGUUCGCGUGGGUUUGCCUGAAAUCGAGCACAAUAACACACAGAAAACAUGAUGUCAGGCCUGCUAGCAGUAAGAUACAUUAGUGAGCCUAUCAUUUGACGAUAGAGCGUGAUAUCGACAGCCGGUUUGUCUAGGGAUGGAGUUAGCUUGGUGCCGAAUGCCAUUGGGACUUUGACUUUGGAGUCUCCCAUCAUACCAAACUUUGCUAGGAGAGUCUUCGUGUAAGCUUCCUGAUUGAUAAAGAUGCCUUCGGGUCCCUGUCUAAUAUUUAAACCAAGGAAAAAGUUAAUAGGACCCAUUGAGCUCAUUUCAAAUUUAGUCUCCAUCAGCUUUCUGAAUUCAGCUGUUAAGCUGGGAUUCGUUGAGCCAAAGAUGAUGUCAUCGACAUAAAUUUGAACUAUCAUAAGGUGGUUACCUUCCUUUUUGCGAAAGAAGGUUGGGUCAACCGAACCUUGUUUGAAUUUAGACAUCUUUAAAAAUUUAGUUAGCGUUUCAUACCAGGCUCUCGGAGCUUGUUUAAGGCCAUACACAGCUUUAUCCAGAAUAUAGCAAUGGUUUGGAUACUUUUCGUUCACGAACCCAGGAGGUUGCUCCACAUACACGGUUUCUUCGAGUUCUCCAUUAAGAAAUGCACACUUGACGUCCAUUUGGAAAACUUCAAAGUUUUUGUGGGCAGCAUAAGCAAGAAAUAUUCUUACAGAUUCCAGCCUAGCUACAGGAGCGAAAGUCUCUUCAUAAUCAAUCCCUUCCUCCUGACAAUAUCCCUUUACUACCAGACGAGCUUUGUUCCUUAUAACAUUCCCUUCCUUGUCCAUUUUAUUCCUAAAGACCCAUUUGAGACCAACAACCGAGGCAUCUGGAGGAGUUGGAAUGAGGCGCCAGACUUUGUUCCUUUCAAAUUCGUUCAGUUCGUCUUGCAUUGCUUGAACCCAAUCAGAGUGAUCGAGGGCAGUGUUAACUGUCUUCGGUUCAACUUUUGAUACGAAUGAGUUAAACAUACAAAACUCAACCUUUGAAAAUAAGGAUGUCUGUUUUGCCUUCAGUUGUGAUCGGGUCAGAACCUUUUCAGAUACAUCACCAACUACUUGAGAGAUAGGAUGAUCUCUGGUCCAUUUGGUAAGAGGAGGGUAAUUUGGAUCAAAGGUUGGGUCUAGUUCAGCAUUGAUCAUUUCUUCUGGCUCGGAUUGGCUUUCGUAGUCAAGUGACAUAUCACCAUGCUCCCCCUCGAUUGAUGAGCUAUGAGAAACUUGAGGUUCAGAGGUUUCUUGUGGUGCUGGACUUUCAGGCGUUGAUGCACCUUCGGUUGGAGAAGCACUUUCGGUUGCAGUUGGACUUUCGGUAGCAGUUGUAGAGCUUGGCUCCCCCUCAACAUGUGAGCUUGGCUCCCCCUCGACUGAAGCAUCGUUGGAUGGAGGUUCAUCAGAAUUCGAUCCUCCUUCAUUCAUUCUCCUGGCAGCUUCUUCGACAAUUUGCUUCAUGUGGUCUACCUUGUUGUCUGCUGCACCUGCUUCUGAGAGAGUAGCUUUCUCUGGUUCGUCAAAGAGCUCCAGAAAUUUCUCGUAUAGAUUAGCGAUCGAGACUGUGACUUGGCCAGUUUGAGGAAAGAUUUCCCCAGCUGUGUCUUCUUUGGCCUGUAGCUUUUUGACAUAGCUAUCGUCAAAAGUCACGUAAUAGGUCUCUUCGAUUUUUCUCGAACGCUUGUUUAGGACUCUGUAUGCUUUGGAAGUGAGAGAGUAACCCAGAAAGAUUCCCUCGUCGGCUUUGACAUCGAACUUGUUGCGGUGUUCUUUAGAGUUAAAGAUGAAACACCGUGAGCCGAACACAUGGAAAAAUUUCACAUUGGGCUUUCUGUUGUUGAGAAUCUCGUAUGGUGUGAGCGUGAAUCGUUUGUUGAGAUAAGACCUGUUCUGUGUAAAACAAGCAGCAGAAAUUGCAUCAGCCCAAAAAUAAAGAGGUAAGGAAGCGAAACUUAGCAUAGUUCGGGCAGCUUCACACAAAGAUCGGUUUCGUCUUUCGACAAUUCCGUUCUGUUGAGGUGUGUAGGGAGCUGAGAAGUUGUGACUUAUUCCCUUUUCUGCUAGAAAUUCUUCAAAUUCCCUGUUCUUGAAUUCCAGACCAUUGUCGCUCCUGAUGUUGCGAACGACCUUCUUGAGCUGUACUUCAAUCUGCUUGAUGAACACUUUCAGCUUAUGAGUCGCUUCAGAUUUGAGCUUUAGAAAGAACACCCAUGUAAAUCGUGAAAAGUCAUCAACAAUAACAAGAAUAUACUUGCUACCACCGAUGCUUUCGAUAGAUGAUGGACCACACAAAUCAAUAUGAAGUAAUUCGAGUGGUUCAACAACUUUUGUGUUAAUUAUAGAUGGAUGACUUUGACGACUCUGCUUCCCCAUUUCGCAUGCAGCACACAAAUGAUCUCUGUCGAACUUGAGCAAUGGAAGGCCUCGAACAUGACCUCCAGUGACAAGUUUGUUGAUAUCUUUAAAGUUGAGAUGAGAGAGUCUUCGGUGCCACAACCAGCUUUCGUCAGAUUGAGCUUUUGAUAACAAGCAUAUAGCUGGGUUUCCUUUGAUGGGUUUAAGGUUUAGAGGAAACAUUUCACCCUUACGCUCCGACUUGAGAAUUACUUUCUUUGUCUUCUUCUCAAUAAUUUCAGAACCUUCAUCGUCGAAUGAGACUUUGAGACCUGUACCUCCAACAAGCUGAGAUACACUGAUGAGGUUGUGUUGUAGUCCUUCCACAUAAGCCACCUUCCUUAUAGUAAAAUCACCAUUAGUUAUCAUUCCGUAUCCCUUUAUGGUGCCGAAAGAGUUGUUUCCAAACUUGACGUUGCCACCAUUUGAAAGAGACCUGUAUUCCCUGAGCUCUUCUUUCCUUCCUGUCAUGUGACGCGAGCAGCCACUAUCGAUGUACCAUUCUUCGUCGAACUGCUCGUCACUUAUAACCUGCAAAAAUUAAGCAGAUUUAGGAACCCAAAGUUUCUUGGGUCCACGUGAGCUUUUCAUAGGAACAGGAAUAGUAAGAGAGAUGUCAACAAGAUAUGUUCGUUUUAUAAGUGUUGUUUCAUCUUUCUUUUUGAUGGUAAAGACUUUUAUUUUAUUAGGAUUAGGUGCGUUCGGUUUAGACUCUGGAUUGGAUGCAUUAACCUUCUGUUUGCCUUUUUGUUCAGCUGACGAAUGAGAUUUUUGAGAACGAACAGAAUGAGCUUUAGAGCAAGAUGGAGAUGAAUUGGAAGAAUUAGAAGAAUUAGAUGAAUGAGAAGGAGUGGGCUUAGAUUGAGAUGACUUCUUGGCUGGAGACUCUAGGUGACCCUUUUGCUUUUGAUCAUUGGUGGGACUGACCUUAGAGUUUUGAUCUCUUUUGACUUCAGAAACGAACCUUUGCUUUCGGUUGGAGCAGUUCUCUGAACCGAACCUAUGCUUUCGGUUGGAGUCAUUCUCAGAACCGAGCCUUUGCUUUCGGUUGGUAUUCUCUUCUGAACCGAACCUUGGCUUUCGGUUGUUGUGGCUUUCAUGCUUUUUGACAGGAUUGUUCUCAAACUUCAGAUUCUUGUCUUGAUGUGAGAAAUAUGCAUUUUGGGAUUGCCAGAAUUGUUUCCUUUCAGAGAGAUUCUUCCUGUAUCUCUGGUUCCUUUCACGUUUCUUAUUCCUCAUCUGCUUCGGUUGAUGAUGAAUAUUGGCUUUCAUUUUCGGUUUCUCCUUGGCUGGUUCACUUUGAACUGUAGGAGUUUCACUUUGAACUGAGGAACUAGAGGGAAUGUCUUCUUUUGCCGAACUUCCAUUCUCUUGAGGAAUGUCUUUCGUACCACUAGUACUUGGCUCAUCGAAAUUAUCUGGCUUAUUCAAGGGUUCUGGUAUGUAUCUACCUUUACUCAUCCAUGAGGUUCUUUCUGAUAAGCCUACCGUUUCGUUUGCAUUAUCUAUUGGAGCUGACCAGAAGUACUCAUCGCAGCCAUCAGCAUUGUCUUCGUUUACAAUAGCUGUGAGUUCAGCGGUCUGAUGUUCGGUUACUCCAGUGACCUUGUACACUUGAUUUGGAGUGGUCCUGACCUUUUGAUAUACAACCGCUUUCUCUGCUAAGAUCGGGGACUUUUGUUGGGACAAUCGAGCGAACUCCACUGAAUUUUCAGAAAUUAGAUUCUUGUGGUUUUCAGGUUCGUUUUUUACAAAUUCUGAGCAGUCAACCGUGUCCUCUACAGAAAUUUCACUCAUGUUGUCGUCCUCAUUAAGCUCAGAUGCAUUUUCAACAUCAAUUUUGUUUUCUGAGCUCAAGUUGGCGUUUAAAGAGUCAAAUUUUUGUAUGGUUUCGGUUCUCAGUUUAAGUCUAUCAUUUUCAUCCAAAAGGUUUUUGAGCAUGUCCUUGUGGUCCUUGGAUUUAAUGAAAGAUUCUAUUUUGUCCAGUCCAUACAUGUAGGUCGGAUUAAUGUCAUCAGAUGAUAUCACACUCUCACAAUUAUAAGCUUCAGCAUCGAUUUCAUCCUCCUUAAACUCAAGGAAGGGCAAAAUCAUGCGAUGGAUCUUUUGGCCUAUUUCACAGUCCAAGUGAAGCUGAGUAAUAUUAGAAUAAAGACGUUUUGCAAUUAAACAAAAAACAUUCCGCUGUUUUAACAACUUUAAAUUGUCUCUUUGUAAAUAAAUGUUUUCGUCUUUUAUUUUAACUAAUUCAGACUCCUUCAACUCGAUCCACAUGCGCCGCUCCUCACUCUUCGAAGACACCCUGCUUAAUUGAUCAGUUAGGUUAGAAUUGGUGACUCGAGUUUGAGUUAAACUACUAUCUAGAUGAGAAAUUCUUGUAUUAACAUUUUUUAGUUCUUUCUCAUAUGAGGAUUGUGGUACUUUAAAUGAAACGAAAACCGAUUGUACCUUCUUGAUCAGUUCAUCGAGCUCGUUGAACUGCACGCUGAGCGGUUUGGCCGUAAAGCACAUAUCCUGCUGCUCCUUCGGUUCAUUGCUUCCACCAUCAGUGUUGUAUCCCCUCAUCUGAGAUACAUCGGACACCAUGAAGCACCUUCCUCCACUGCUCUCCUCCUUUGCCACACAAGCCUUUCCAUGAGAAGGCUUCCUCACUUCAUCGUCUUCAGAGUCGGUUGACCAAACUUCCACUCCACCGAACUCGUCAUCAGCAACCGAACCCUGCACAAUAAGAGCAUUCAUGGAAGGGUUAGCGGUAGAUUUCUUCUUCCUCAUCUCAUCAAGCUUUUUCUGUAGCAAAGCUUCCUCAUCCUUUUCCUCAUCUUUUUCAGCCAUCUUUUUGAGGACACAAUCCUUAGCAUAGUGAUUUUUCCCUCCACAGUAGUAACAGCUUACUCCAGAAUCACCAUCUGCUUUCGGUUCCUUCUUGGGCUCUUCAACCUUCGGUUCAUUAUUAACCUUUUCUGAACUAUAACUCCCCUGCCAGUUUCGGUUUUUGUUGCUGGGGAAUCUCUUCUUAAUGAACCUCUUGGGGUUAGACACCAUCAUAGCAUAAUCCUCAGACGUGAGGUCAUACUCCUCCAAGUUGAGGUCUUCAUCCUCCAUCACAGCUUUACUUUUUGACAGGAGGGCCAGCGAACCUAGGCUUGAAACAACAUUCUUUUCCUGCAGCACAAUCUUCUCCUGAGACUUGAGAAUACCCACCAGUUUCGCCAAAGAGUAUGAUUUAAACUGCUCAUGGGCUUUAACUGUUGACACCACUGCUCUCCAUUCUGACCUUAGACCAUUUAAGAACGUAACCUUCUGCUCGAUAAGCUUCCUUUCGAUGUCAUGUUUGAUCAUCCUGCUGAGAAGAUGAUUGAAGCGAUCGAACGUCUGGGUCACAGUUUCUUCGGCUCCUUGCCUGAAUUCUCCAAACUCAGAUAAGAGCAAGGUUUGGAUAGAAUGUUCAAGAUCCUCGUCUGUAGAGUACAGUUCGCGAAGUCUAUCCCAAACUUCCUUUGCCGUCGUGCAUGAGCUGACCAACCUGAAGGUGUCGGACUGAAGGGCGAAUCUUAUCAAUCUUAACGCCUUGAUAUUACACUGGAAUUUAUCCUUUUCAUCUUGCGCAAUAUCUUUGACAUCCUUCAGCAGAUCAUUAUACUCCUUUUGAGUUUUAAUAAUCCUUGACGUUGCAGAAUGAGAAAAAGGUCCAUUAAUGAUUGCUUCCCAUAUGAGGUAUCCAUUAUCCUCAGAUCCUAUAACGUAGUCUUCGAAGUGAUGCGCCCAGACUUCAUAAUCAUGGGUAUAUAGGAUUGGAAUCUUCGUGGUUGAACCGAUGCUGUUGGAAAUAUUGAUGGGAUUUGAUUGUGACUCGUCCAUUAUGAUCGAAAAACCUGUUCAAAGAUCAGACUUGUAAUAAAGCAGAUUAGGGCAAAACAAUAAAUAUCAAGAUUCGUCAAUAAUGAGAUGACGGCUCAAUAAAUAUCGGUAGUUGCGGAAAAACCCUAAUUGAAACCUUUUCACAGAAAAGAUGUGUAUCGAUUACACAGCCUCCCGCUCUGAUACCAAUUGAUGAGAUUAAAAAAAAACUUUAAUCUAUGAAGAUCGAUUAGAUCUCAAACAGGUAAGUAAAUAUAAAACUAUAAGAACACGAAAAUAAGAACGAGACAAGAGUGAAUCAAACGUGUCGAAUGAUUAAACAAAAUCCUCAGAAGAGCUCGAUUAAGAACAUCAACUGUAGAGGAUUAGUAGGUUACAAGAAUGAUCAAAGAAAUCUGUAAUACUAUCGUUACGCUCUUGAAUAAUCGUUAACCUAAUAUGCAUGCAAGCAUAUACUUAUAUAUUAAACAUAAUGGGGUCUCGGUUGGACAGGCCCAAACCGGAAUACAAAUAAAAUAAAUAAACAUUCGAGCCCAACGACGCAACACUUGAGCAAAUCUUCAACCCAACAACCACAAAAUGACAUUCGGCAAAUUAAAUAAGAAUGUGACAAGUGGCAAAAAAAACAUUCAUUUAUUAGAGAGGAUACAUUUUCAGUGCUUUCUAAUUUUAGUAGUAAGAAUCAAACUUUUUUAUCAAGCAAGUAUACAUAUGUUGUGGAUGACAAUCAAAAUGUCAACCCAAAUAUACAUGUGAAUAUCAACAUAUAAGUUUCUAAUCUAUUUUAUAUUUGAAUAUCAAAUGGUAUUUAUCUUUUUUUUGAAUGACAAAUAAUUAAAUAUCUCUUUUGUCUGGUUUUGAACCCAUAGUCUCCUACUUAAUUGUUAGAUUAGGAACUUACAUGUUAACCAAGCGGGCUAGCCCCAACUUAUAAAUGACAUUUAUCCAACAACUCUAAAGAUAGCCGAAAACAUAGAAAAAAUUAUUUGUAUAGUAGAAGAUCUAAUGAUAUGCCCACCACAUCAAACAAUUUUAUGUUAUAUUUAUCAAAUUAUUUACUGAAUUUUAUACAUAGAAUGAUAUUUUAAAUAGUUUAUGAAUAUGAUAUUUAAUGUUGCAUUCAUAUAAAUUUUUGAAUAAGAACAAUUAUUUAAAAUAUGUGAAUAGUUUAUUUUAUAAGUAUAACCGAACUAAUUACUUAUUCAUCAGUUCAUUUGUAUUUAUUUCGAAAUUUUAUUUUAAAAAAUACAUCAUGCAUAUACCUGAUGGGUUAUAGCCAAAAGACAUCCUAUGUGCUCAUGCAAACCCUAAAGCUUGGAUCUAGGUUUCUCUAUUGUACAUGCUUUUAAUCCAAGACUUAAAACCCUAGAUCUAAUCAAUAUAACAUAUGAAUAAGGGUUUAGAUCAUACCUUGAUUGUUAUAUAGUAAUAACAAUCUCAAUUCCUUCUUGUAUUGACUUUAGAAAGCUUAGAGUCACAAAUGUCACUCCUCUAAUGGCUCACAAACACCAAGAGCAAGAGGAUGAAGAAGAGAAGAGAAGGAGGUUGCUCAAAACGUGUGGAAACCCUAACCAAUUAGCUCACCACGUUUUUGGGGCUUAAGGGUUCCUUAAAUAGUGAGGCUAUUAGGGUUAUCUAACAAGGAAACCCUAAUUUGGAUGCUUAGGCCCUAAGCAACCCAUGAACCCUUUUCAUAAAGGCCUUUGGACGAUUUCUAAUGGGUUUCCCCAUAGAAUUCGUCCACCCCCUUAAUAAGGAGUCCAUUAGCUCAAUAUUCAACUAUCACACAAUUGACAGUUCUAGUCCCUUAAGUUUAAUUAAUCUCUUUUAGCCACAAACUUAAUUCUUAUUAAUUCUUGACUAAUAUUAAUUAAACAAUAUGAUUUCUCCUUUAAUAUAUUAUUCUCAUAAUAAAUUAAUAAAUCAUAUUUAAUCCUUUCUCUCCAUAAUUCAUCCUAUCAAGUUGCUUUGGUGAAGGCAACCCAAAAGGACCAUGCACCAUCGGGUCAAGUACAUACCAAAAUAGUUAUGGACUUAGACACUAAUCCAACAGUCUCCCACUUGGAUAAGUCUAAUAACUAUUCUGCGUAUGACUUCAGAUCCUGAUCUGCAAUCGUAGCUUUCCAAAGCCGCUGUCAACUCUGAUCAUAUCAGAUACGCGUGUCCUUAGAUAAGGGAUCAUAUAUUCCUCCAUUCUAGAUAUCAUAUGAGAUAUGAUUUCAAAUCAUUCUCUUUGUACUAUAUCUCGAUUUCCGAUUUAUGACGACUGACUAAUUGAACAAAUCAAAUUAGCCCUAGCCCGGCCGAGCAUUUACGUUUGUCAUCACUAAAUCAUCGAGGGGCCCAAAGAUAUCGCUUUUAUCCUACUUUGGAUAAAAGGAACGGAUAAACUUUGAUACAAUGCUUGCUUGCACUCACUCACCGAAUCACACACAACAAUAUGUUUUAUAACACCAAGUUACUAGUGCGUUUACAUAUUAUCAAUGUGCAACCGAUUUGCAAGAUACAACUCACACAUCUCGGUUUCAAGAAUAUAAGAUGUUAUCGUCUCACCAAUCACUCGUGAUACAAUUCAUGGAGUGAUCCAAGUGAGCGUGGGUUUAAUCCAAUGCUCAAAUCAUAUUCAUAAGCACUCAUGAACGUUGCAGCAAACAUUUGCUUAUGUCUAAUACUCUUUUAGACAAUCCACACACCAAUUCACGACAGUCUUCAUUCAUAUCUACUUCCAACAUAUGAACGACUGUGGCCCGUUUGAAUAAUUCGAUUAUUCUUAAUAAACUCAAUUAUUCUGGAAGUCAAAACAUGCAAAUGUGAAACACAAGAAUAAUACUAAUCCCAUAUGGCCUCAAACCUUUGAGUAUAAAUAAAACACCUUUUAUUUAUCACCAUAUCGAUUACUCAUUAUUUGUCGUUUCGGGUAAUCAACUUCUUACUUGAAUUAUUACACUUGUCCCAUGCUCCUAGCAUGCACACAAUGUUUACCUAUGGUUCUUACUUUUGUGAAAUAGAUCAAAUUGAACACAUUUCCAAUCAUUCUCAUUUCACAACUCCAAAUCCUUUUUCAUAAGUGUGAGAAUAUCAAAUUCUUGUUACUUAUAAAAUAUGCUAGAUUCUAACAUUCUAUGCAAUGAUCCUUUCGUAAUGUCACUGCACCAAAGUCACAAAGACUAUUGCCAAUGAUAUUACAAAGUCCUCUAUCGGAGAUUGUUACAAGACAAUUCCUUAGAUAUGAUGUCUCUCACUCAAAGUACAUUCCUUUGAACAUCCUUUUGCAUAAAAGUUUCUAAUCUAGACAUAGAUUUUCAAUAUUCAAUUCCCAAUAUGGACACGUUUCCAUAUUUUCCAUAUGACAACUCAUUCUUAAUAGAAUCUUAUCUAUUCGUAAUGAUGUCGAUAUGGUCCAUCCAAUAUGGAAACAUUUCCAUAAUUUCCAUAUGACAACUCAUUCUUAAUAGAAUCUUUUCUAUUCAUAAUAAUGUCGAUAUGGUCCAUCCAAUACCAUGCUUCCAACUACUCACAAGCGACCAAUCCUCGUCGAACUUUGGAUUGUCCUUUGAUAGUUGUUUAAUUAUUUUAGUCAAAACCAAUUCUAGUCCCUUUUCCCUCUAAAUGCGCUCGACAUUUGGAAAAUUUUAGAAUGGUCAAACAUUAAAGCAUUUGCAAUCGAUCCUAUACCCGAAGCGUAUGGGACACGACGCAUAAUGUUUUAUUUGCUAUGUUCUCAAAAUUCGAAUUGUGAAGAGGAAUGCCGUAAUCAUAAUCGAAAUUUUAAGAACACACUAUGUACCUUUGACUAAAUUUAUUAACAUUUCUCAACCUAAUCCUUUAGAUUUGAAAUGAAGCAUAAUAUUCUCUCCCUUAAUUAUAGCAAAACAACUUUACAACCCUUACGACUUUGCAAGGUAUAACUCUUGUUUUCUAUAAUUAAUAUUGCCAACUUGCAAUACUUGCCUUAAUAAUCAUACAAUCAUAACAUUUAUGCUCCCACUAUCAUGAUGAUUAUUAUAAACAUAACACUUAUGCUCCCACUAGCUUUGACAUGUAUUCAGAAACAGCUUAACUUUCAGAAAAACAAUGCUUAUUGAAUUUCUUAAGUUCAUGUUUCUAAUACUUAGUGCUUUGAUAAUCUUUUAUCAAGGCUUCUUGAACUUAUACACCUUUGCCUUAGAUAGUUCAUAUGUGUGUCUAAACAAUUAAGACUAAUUGCCAAACCUCACAAUUCAAAUUAUGGAAAGGGAUACCGUAACCAUAAUCGAAUUCGAGAAUGCAAUUUUACAAUCACUAUCUUCUUAAAAUCUUUCUUAGUGAAAGCAUUUCCUCACAAUCAUUUUCAUGAAGGAGGAAAUCUUAUGACACUUAGAUUUAAACGGUGUAUGUGUUCCUAUCCAUGUGAAUUUGUUAAAACCAAAGUUUACGACAAAUUCAAACUCAUAUGGACCGAACUUUCUUAAUCUUGAUUUCUUGCCUUAUGGUAGCACAGCUGCCCACCAUGUCUUCCAAGUAGUUAAGCAGCUCACCUUUUCUUAUCAAUGUACUUUCCAUUGAUCAAGGUCCUUGCCUUUUAUGCAUUCAAAUGAGAACUCAUAGGACUCACAUGCAUAAUUAACUCGAUUGGAUUGGCACAGAAACAAAAUAAUGUCAACACGAUAGGUUGUAAACCUCAACUCGUGUGCUAGUGAUGAUCGAUAAGGUUUAUUUUGAUUUGUUCUUGAAACCUUUCAAGACCAUUAAGACUCCCACUGACUCCUUGACAUAUAAGAUUCUCUUGUCAAUAAACAUUUCUUGACAAACAAAUAUUCAAGAGUUAGUGUAGCUUUUAUCAAAACACUUCAUAAAUUGGUCCUAGUUGGUCUUUGUCUUAUCCAAGACAUCACAACUUUCCACAUUUGAUGAAUGUUAUAAACCUUCUUAAUACUUUUCACUCAAUGUCACAAUCUUAACUCUAAGACUUGUUUUGGAACGAAGUAUGAUUGACUUCUUGAUUUAACCAUUUCUUCAAUUCUUGAUUCCUCUUCUUAGACAUACAAUUGUACUAAGACUCACUUAGAGGAUCAAUUGAGAUAUGGUUCUUAAUCAUUAAGACCUAUCAUAAAGCAUAAAAGGUACUCUCCCUUCUUCUUAGAAUGGAGAAACUUUUAUCUUUCUGCCUACUUGAUUCUUCUUAUUCGUUCUGCUAUUGAUUUAAACUUUUUCAAUCAAUUCAGAAUUACACUUAAUCUUGUAAGUAUAAUCAUAUUUACUAAACCUUUAGUAAAUCAUGACGAAUAUCUUUGUUACUCUUAUGGUGGACUUGAUCAACACGCAACUUUGUGUACUCGAUCUCCUAGUCCUUCACUUGACACUUUGUCAAUGAAUUAGUCUAAUUUCCAAAUAUGAAAUUUCUCAUUCAUCGUGCAACCAAGUUGCAUGAUUCCAAGUUUCUGUCCAAUUGAAACUUGGGCGAUGAGAAACUCUCCCUAUUUGGUAAAUUCUCGACUUUCCAUAAAUAACAUAAAUAAGAACCAAAUCCAUUAUUGCUAAUAAUAGAAACAUUCAAACAUCAAUUUUUCAUAUACGCCAUUGCAAGGAUAAAUAAAUAAUAUAAAAUCAAAAUUUAUUUUAUUGCGGAAAAAAUUUGUCCUUACAAUGCAAUUCAUUGAAAAACUAUGCUAAUACAUCUUUCUUAGCAAUCUAAUUCUAACUCUAAGUAGUAGCUCAAGAAUCUAAUCUUCGAGAAAUGCGAUCGAAAUCCAUUCCUUCACGGUUAGAUUCUGCUCACUUCUUCCCUUAAGCUUCCUUUCUUUUCUUCGAUCCUACAAAACAUCAAUUGUAAUCUUAUCACAUUAUGUAUUAAGAAUCUAGAAUAGAAGCUUAAAAGAGUUAGUUAAUGGAUUUUACCUAUAUUAGAGCCAUACGUUUUGACUCUCCCAUCUCUUAGAUCUCUUAGGUAAAUAGGGCAGCUUCGUCUCCAAUGCCCCUUCUCUUGGCAAUAAAAGCAAAUUGACUCUUUUGGAACAGGAC
rnacentral:lncRNA from 1 species